rnacentral:lncRNA from 1 species
AUCCCGCAGGUACAACUCGAAGUAGACACCGACAGGCCGGCCUUCCUCCGAUCUACACCUCCACUCUAUCUCUCUCAAUCUAGUAGAAACUAGAAGAUCUAUUUCUACUUUACAUUGGAUGCUAAGCCUAAAAAGAAAUAUUAUUUAGAGAAGAGGUUUUCCUUCGAGGGCACCCCUCAAUCUCUAUGAUAACUUCUUGUCUCCUCCAGGGGCCAGGGGGGUCUCCUUAUAUAGUCCUCCUCCUCUAUGCGUUUUUGGGUCGGUAGGCGAGGUGGUACUACGUUAUCCUUGAUCCAAUAGGUCGGUGGAACAUCGUGUGCGAAGAGAGUCCCGAACGGAGUCCAGGACAGGGCGGGCGCCCAGGGAAAGAGGGCGGGCGCCCUGGGCCUGGCCCCUUUCGGCCUCUGCUUUCUUCCCGUGGCUUCUGGAGUCUUCUAGAUGGUAGAAAAUUGUGCGGUGCGUUGAUAUCUCUAUGUAAUCCCGACAUGUGGGCCUUUCUUCCUUAUUUCCUGAUAUCCCCCUGCAGAAAUAGACAAACACCAAAACUCAUGGAAUUCUGUCAGAUAAAACCCUAAGUGUAGGUGUUGGUUGCAUUUGGAUCCUUUUCUUUAUUUAUUUGAUGAUUAAAUUUGGUACUUAAGGACCGUCAACAACUCCCCCAAGCUUACCUCUUGCUCGUUCCUGAGCAAGGAUGAACUCAAGAGUUUCUGCAGUGGUUUUAUGCCUUAAAAGUACACACGCAUUCAAACAAGAUCUCAUCUCUGAGUUAGAAUAAACUGUUAAGACUUAAAACUUACUCAUUUUACCUUUCACCAUGGGGCUUGUAACCGUCACUUGUGUCUUGAGCAGUUAAAAGAUAGAACGGUCAAGUCAAGCGCCAUGUCUCUUAUUCUUGAUCAGCUAUAGCUCUAGAGUUUUUGCAGAUUUUCAAAUAAAACUCAGAGAUUCCUUAUAUGAUUCUCUCAAAUCUCUAUUUUGUGGUAUUUCUGGAUCCUUACCAAGGCAGUAAUGGUAUAUGCCUUCUCUCAAAGUAUGUGGUAUUUUUGGUAUGAGGCAUAGUGAUAUUGCCUUCUCUCUGACCCUAUUCUAAUAAGGUUUUGAUAUCUGGAGCUCAUAGGUGGGAGACAGCUAAUAUAUACUUACAAGACAUUUAUUGCAUAGUCAAACCAUGGAUCUAGAGAAACAAGUCAAUAAGUAAAAUCAAGAUGUGCAUGUGUGGCGAAUGAAUGGUGUAUGGUGAUGAUGGUGAUAACAAUGGUGAAAGUCUAAUUCUACUUUUGCUCUUUUGAGGGGAUACAUACCUUUCUUGCACUUUGAAGUUUUUUGAGGAGAAUUAGAUGCUCUAUAUUUUCUUUUUCUUUCCUCUCAGGUGGGUAGCUUUGUACCCCUAAUUCUACUGUCGGACACUUGUCCAUUUUUACCUCUCGUCUCACUUUUUAUUUUCUUUCGAGGUUCCGGGCACUUGCCCCUUUUUAUUUUCUCGUAUUUUUUCUCUUUUUUUUCUUUUCUUUUUUUACUAGAGCACUCAUCUCCUGAAAUAAUGUAGCAAGUGGUAGUAACCAAAAUAACUCGAGCAUUUAUUCCACAGGGAAAAACAGAAAUAUUUUUGGCCAUUCUUUCCUGGAUUAGGAGUAGAAUGUUUUUGGGUGGUUCUGGAGAUGGAAAUGAGUGGAUAUAUGUGGAUGGUACUUCCGGAGUAGAAGUAGCAUGUAUGAGUGAACAUGCAAGUGAAUCUUGAUUUGAACUACAUGACAAGCUCCUAAGGGUCUACACAGCUUGACCAUACUCAAUGCUCAUAAGCAGUAAAAAGUAAAUGUGUGGCUCAAAGUCUAGCAAGCAUGUAUAUAUGGCUGUGGUAGGAAUUUAAACUCUCAUCAUAUAGGAACUCAUCAUGUGUUAUUUUAAAGAUUUUCAAAGAUAAAAUUCUCUAGAAUUCUAGCAUCUCUAGGAACAGAUAAACAGCAGCUCAACCUUCCCAUAUCAUAUCUGUUAACAACUUAGACUUUAGAUCAAGUACUCUUCCCACAAGUUUAGGUUUAGAGCAGGUUUAAAUUAUAACAGUUAUGCCUAAACUUGAGAGAGAUUUCAAUUUUAAGAACUAGUCAUGGCAGAGUAACUAUUUAUCAUUUCCAUGUGAGAGCUUAUCAUGAGGGUUCAUAGCAAACUUUAUUUAUUUAUUUAUUUAGCAAACUAAGCAAAGAUAUAUAUAAAAGCACAAAAUCUUUAUUUGGGUUUUCAUGAUUAUGCAUCUUUUAUUAUUUAAGUAAAGUAUAAACGCGAGUAGAAACACUUAGCUGGAUAAAUGGGGGUGCUCUCCCCCAAGUUAGAUUUUGACGUAAUUUCUUGUGAUGUAGCUAGCAGGUGGUGGAGGUGUAUUUGAAAGUCGGCAGCACCCUGACAGCAAUUAGGAUGUCCUCCGUCUGCUAGUCUUCUUUGAUCCUUGAAUUCUGUGGAGCUCAAAUAGACAACAAAGCUUUGUGGAACUGGUUAAGUGUUAGCAUAAAUAUCUAGCCUUUAUCAUGUUGAGCCUCCUCAAUAAAUAUUACUUAUUUAGCAGGAUCAUGCACUUAUUAUUUUUAUAUUUUUAUUGUAAGAUGAAAACUUAUUUAUUUUAUUUUUAUGCCACCACAGUGAAUGUACUUAUGGGUUUUAUGCCAUGAGCAUACUCACAUGGGGCUUACUAUUUUUUUAACAUUUUUAUUUUCUUUUCAAGAUAGCAUGAACCUGAUUAACUAAGCAAACUAUUGAAUGGAAAAGGAUAACUACCAAGUUUACCUCUUGGCAAGGCGUUCGGUGUUUUUAAGUCCUCUGAAUGGGACUCUCCGUUUUUAGUCGUCCUAGGAUUCGCUGGAUGGCGUAGUCGGUGGUUCCGGUGGUGCCUCCUCUUCGUGUAUAACUAUCUUCUCUUUCCACACCUGACUCGGUGCUACAGUCUCCUCAGGACAGUUCUGUUCAAGCUGUAUGUCUUCACACCUUACCACUUCUCCUUUGUAGUCUGCCCAUCCGUCCUUGAUGAUUUGCCUCCUCUGGUUGCUGUUGCGUUGUCUUCUUGUUGUCCUGACCUCCUUAGAGUUUUCAACUAUAUAGUUAGGGUCAGUAAAACAGCGGCAUACCUUCUCAGAGGAGAAGUGUAUGUGGACUUCUCUGAUUCCGAUAUAGAUGAUGGCUUUGAUAGUGUUGAGGAACGGUCUUCCAAGGAUGAUGGGUGGAUCGUACUUGUCUUCUCCCAUGUCAAUGAUCUGAAAAUCAUCUGGAGCUGAAUAUAUCUUGGUUGUAGGAGCAUGGUUCCAUGCAGUAGCUGAUAAGUGACUGCGGCCAUUAUGUUGUCGUCAGAUCCGGUGUCGUAGAGUGUCUUCUAAAAAGAGUAUCCAUUGAUUAUGCACUCGAUGCUUGGAACACCAGGGUCGUCCUUCUUGAUCAGGAAAGGCGACUUGAGUCGACAAUCUUGACCUUCUCUGACAAGGAUCCAAUGUUUUAAGUCUUCUGGACAAGACUUCUCAGCGUGUUCACCCUUUAGGUGCAUCAUUUGAUUAGGUGUGGGUCUUGACAUCAAGUGCAUGGGCCCUGUUGGUGGAAAACACCAACAGAACCAAAAAGUGUAUUUCUCUAACCUUAAGCAUAGUGAGCAAGACAAAGUUGAUGGAUCAUGAGUGUAGCAUUUGUCAGAUCAGAUGGCUUAUCCUAAUGGAAAGAUAAUCUAUCUAUAUUUAUGUUUUGUUUAUAUCUUCCAAAGAUUGAAUGUGCAAUAUAUUAGCUUAUAUGGUUAGGACUGUGAGAUCAUGAAGGUAGUACUAAGAACAAAGACUAAAGGACUAAACAUGUUGAAUUAAUUGAGUUGGUUAAUUUGGAGUUAUAAAUCAUACAUGUUUGUCUCUUUAUUUUAUGUGAACACCAGAACCAAAGAGAAGCUUAUAAAAGCAAUAGUCAAGUACCUUAAGAUGUUACCUUACUUGAAGAGUGAUGGAAUAGUAUCACCUUGUGGAAGCUUUCCUUUUCUUAGCGGUUGUGCAUCGUGUUUGUGGCACCCUCCAUGAAUUAUCUCUUAUGAGCUACGUCUUUCUUGUGCAAAUUGUUAAACUUCAUGUGUCACUUUCUUCAUCUCCAAUGUGAGUUUAUCUCAGGACUUCCCAGGUUGAUAUUGAAAGUUUUCCUGCAGGGGUUAGUCCCACAAAAUAUACCAAUAUCUACUCAAGCAGUUUUUAGUUCAGUAACCAAACUAGACUCCAUGUCUAAUCAGAUUAAGGAAGGCUAUUUAACCUAAGCACCAUGCUUAAUUUAAAUGCCAAUGGAAGUAUGUCGAGUACUUCCAAACCAACACUUACUAGGAUAAACAAAGGUAGCAUGAUGGCAUUUAUAGAGAUCUACUCAAGUGGAGAUGAAGUAGUGUGAUUAGUGUUUAACAAAUUGAGCAUGUCUCAAAGGUAAGGACAACCAACAUAGCAACAUGGAAAAUGAUGUUUUUAUGUAAAGUACUCCCCCAAGCUUGAAUUUUGCGAAAUUCAAGUUUGGAUGAAUUUAAUUCAAUGUUGUAUGAUGGUUGGUUGGACAUACCUUGUGCUUGUCAUUCAUCCAAUCUUCUUGCUCCAAUCCUGGAAAGGUUAGUGGCAAGAAUACCCGAAGGAAUAUUUCUACAAUUAUCUCAAUAUGCUCAAUAAUGUUGCAAAUAAUUAGAAGUUCAUGAUCAGUGCUUGUUUUAGGACACUAAGCUUUGGGAAACCAUCAAUUUAUGUCAGCGAAGUGGUUUCCCCUCCAACGCUGACCUAUAUCAAGAUCAACUCAACGAGAUCUGCAAUAUUUAUUAUAGACAUAUGCAUCGACAACCGCCCUUUUAAAGUUUUUAUAAAUAGAAAAGAAGAGGGGGUUGGAGAUCUCAAAUGUGGUGAUGUUGGAGAGACCAAUUGAUUGGGGAGAUGUUUUAUAUGAGCAAGGACUCGGUGAGGUAUUUAUGAAAUAACUUCCAUGCUCACUGUUGUUCUCUCAUUCUCAAACUCAAAGGAUGAUUCUUCACGAAUGCUUAAAAUUCCUCUAGGACUGAUAGCACAUAGAUUUUUAAUGCCCUCUAGCCAUUGAUGUUGCUCUUCUCUAUCCUCCUUCUUAUGCAUGGGAUGUCUAGAGAGAUUCAUAGGAUUAUCGGGAGGUUCAAGAGAAAGAGCAUAGUAGAAACUAUUAAGCUCAAGGAUGGGAUGGAUAGCCGAAUCAUGGGAUUGAAAUGUUUGGAAAUUGGCUAUUGAAACUUCCUUUCCUUGCCUGGGAGAUGAUUCCUUCUCUAUCUCUAAGAAUUUUUUAUGAAGACUAGUACAAGAAGGAUGUCCACGAAUGAAGACAUACCUUGCUUUACUAACAGAUAAAGAAAGAAAAACUCUACCAAUGGUUAUAUAAUUAAGACCAAUGUGAAAAUAUCGAGAAAAAACAUGGUCUUGUAGGGCUAGGUCUGAACCAGAAUUUAUAGAAAGAUUAACAGAUUCCCUAGGUGUAGCUAAAAGUGCAUUAUCUUCUUGAUUAAAAGAUAGAACCACAGCUAUAGAAAAGGGUUGGUUUUGACCUAUUGCAAUCAACUCCGGGCACACAUCAUAAUUAGGGGCAGGACUUGUUGACUCCCAUGGUCUAUGGCUGAUCUCCGAAGGUGCAAAGAAUUCAAUAAUAGGUAUGGAAUUUAAGUUAUCCAUAAAGAUAAAAAGAUAAAAGAAUAAAAGUAUAAAAGUAUAAUACAAGAUAAUAGCAAGACUCAAAGUUAUCUCAGAAAACCGUCUUUCUCCCCGGCAACGGCGCCAGAAAUGCUUGUUGAUAUUUGGUAACGCAAUAAGGAAAUGAUCCGCAAGCGCACGGAUAUCGGUGAGCAUUUCACCCGGGAGGUUAUCCAGAGUUAUCGUAUUUUAUAUUUUUACCACUGGGAGAAAGGGUGCAUCUGACUAACCAAAUCUAUUGCUACUACCCCUUUAGGCUACAAAUAAUGUUUCUCGAUGUGAGCGAUGUAUAGAGAAGACUGCAACCGUAGUCUCGUUCUAUCCUUGGUAAGGAUGAUUUACUGUUCUAUUGGGGAAGCUUACGGAAUCUAGACACCACAAAGGAUGUUCGACCCGCACCUAUAAACCUACCCGUCCUGCUAACAAGAUAUGGGAUACAAAGGUAACUCGGAAAUGUCACGUUCCUCGCUACUACCACGGUCCAGCUAGUCAGGGGAUAUCUAUGAGUACCCUAGCCUAAACACCACGUUUACGCUAGCAAUGAUUACUCUAAUACUCAACCGGAAGAGGAUUAAAGUAAAAUCAUAAACCAAAGAACAAUAAAAAAAGAACAUACUAGAAUUAGAAGUCGAAUUACUGAAGAAUCUUAGAAGCAAGCCUCGGGUUAGGAGACUUGAUCCCGCAGGUACAACUCGAAGUAGACACCGACAGGCCGGCCUUCCUCUGAUCUACACCUCCACUCUAUCUCUCUCAAUCUAGUAGAAACUAGAAGAUCUAUUUCUACUUUACAUUGGAUGCUAAGCCUAAAAAGAAAUAUUAUUUAGAGAAGAGGUUUUCCUUCGAGGGCACCCCUCAAUCUCUAUGAUAACUUCUUGUCUCCUCCAGGGGCCAGGGGGGUCUCCUUAUAUAGUCCUCCUCCUCUAUGUGUUUUUGGGUCGGUAGGCGAGGUGGUACUACGUUAUCCUUGAUCCAAUAGGUCGGUGGAACAUCGUGUGCGAAGAGAGUCCCGAACGGAGUCCAGGACAGGGCGGGCGCCCUGGGCCUGGCCCCUUUCGGCCUCUGCUUUCUUCCCGUGGCUUCUGGAGUCUUCUAGAUGGUAGAAAAUUGCGCGGUGCGUUGAUAUCUCUAUGUAAUCCCGACAUGUGGGCCUUUCUUCCUUAUUUCCUAAUAUCCCCCUGCAGAAAUAGACAAACACCAAAACUCAUGGAAUUCUGUCAGAUAAAACCCUAAGUCUAGGUGUUGGUUGCAUUUGGAUCCUUUUCUUUAUUUAUUUGAUGAUUAUAUUUGGUACUUAAGGACCGUCAACACCUACAGGACUCAAGCUCUAGCACUAAGCUCUCACAAUGUGCACACUUAGCAAUGGUGCUAUCUGAACUGGCCUUCUCAAGAUCACAGAUCUUGGCAUUCUUCAUUGCUAGCUUAGAUUGCAAGCCUGUGCAGGACUUGCAUACACCCAACAAGACAGGCUAGCCUUCAGCUCAUCAUACUCAUCAAGCAAACAAGCAUACUUAGAUCAAAAUUCAGAGAAGUUAGACAUAUGAUCAGCACACUCAUCGCACUCUACUUCAUCUGACACAACCACAACAUACUUCUUAGUAGCCUAAAGCUCCUUAAGCACCAACUCUAGCUUGUCCUCAAACUCAUUUCUCUCAUAGGCAGCACACUUGAGCAAUUCAUCCUAUCAAGCUCAGUGACAAGGUCAUCAAGAGAAGGGGAUACCUCGAAGGUAUUGUCGUUGAAGGAGACCUUGUCCUUGUUGGCCUUCACCUCGGUAUCAACCGCCAUGGUGCAGAAGCCUCCAUGAGUGGAAUCAGCGAUGAAGCAAAGACCGGUCAGCUUCUCCUCCAUCUUCCUCUCGGACUCAUCAUCACUCAAAAGAGAAGAGGAGCAGUCAUCAUCAGAGUUGUUGUCGAGGUCACUGAGGGAAGGAAGAAAUGCAUGCUCUUGGGCCUUGACCUUCUUGCAGUACAUCUUCUUGAGUGCCUCCUUAUCGAAUCCCUUCUUUGACUUAUGCUUGCUGGAGUUAUAGUUGCGCUUGUCCUUGCGCUUGUUGGAGUCGUACUUGUCAAAGAAGUGGUAGUUCUUCUUGGGGUAGUUAUAACACUCCAAAAUUUGAAUUCCAAAUUUUUGUUUAAAUUUGAUUUAAUUUUGGCUUAGUUUGAAUUUUUGGGAAUUAUUAAAUAAUUUACAAAAAUAAAUAAAAUGAAAUAUAAGGUAUAAACAUGCUUGUGUGCAUUCAUGUUGCUGCAUAAUUUUUGCUUGAUUUUAAUUAUUUGCUGGUGCUUGAGUUAUUUUGUUUGGCAGCAAGAAAAGAAAAUAGAAAACCUGUUUUGAAUAAAAAAGGAAAAAAAAGGGUAGCGCCCUGGGCCGGCCUCCCUCUUCCCCCGCCUUCUGCCCGCAUGGGCUAGCAGCCCAGCCAGCGCGCGCACGCCCCCAGCCCGCAGCAUGCCCCCGCUUGCCCCUGCCCUUUGCCGCCGCCACCCGCUGACGGGUGGGCCCCACCCGUCAGGGCCGCCCCCAACCUCCCAUCCGAAACGGACGGGGCAGCCGCCUCCGCCUCGGCUUCCGCGAGCCCGCGCCGCGAGGUUCGCCUCUAGCCAUAAAUAGGCCUCGGCCUCGCCUGCACGCUCCCAUCUCGCCGAGUUCGCGCCGCCGCCGUCGGGCUUCUCUUCGCCGUCGUCGACUCGCGGAGGUGAGCCCUCCAUCGCGUUCGUCUCGCCGAGCCGCGUCCGCCCCUACCGUCGGAACGCGUUUUCGUAUACUGUAGCGCCGCCGCCGGGAGCUCCCAGUCCGCGCCCAUGGCGCCACCGCUGGCCGCGCCGCCCGGCCGCCUCGCCCGCUCCGGCGUGUGGUCCACCGUGGACCGUGGCUCCGCCCCCGCGCGGCCGGUCCACCAUGGACCCGGCCCACGCCGCACCCGCGCCCCGCUCAGCCCCGGCCCCGGUCCACCAUGGACCGGUGGACCCCCGCGCCCCCUCGGUCCACAGCACACCGCCGUGGACCGGCCAACUGCCCGCUGCCACGUGGCCAGACCGGCCACCGGCCCGCGCGCCCCUGCACUUUUUGCGAAAAGGACCCUGGGUUUCCUCAAAAUCAACUCGCGGUCCUUCGCAGUUUUAAUUCAUUUAAUUUUAGCCCCUGGUUUUUGCAGAAAAACCCCCGUAGCCGUUGGUUUUUAUAGUUUUAAUCCAAAAUGCUUUUUAAUUCAGUUUUAAUUAAUUUCAUUUUUGAAAAAUAGUUUAGCUAAUCUACAGAAUUGCCAUCCAACUUGUUUUAGCCAUAACUUUUGCGUCGUAACUCCGAUUUAGGUGAUUCUAGUCGCUAUAGUUUCGUAUCGUCGAGUAGAAUACAGUAGUACAGUUGCUUUAUGCUUUUGAAUGCUUUGGUGUACUGUUUCUGAUUAAGCUUGUUUGCUUACAUGUAUUGCUUCGUUUGCUUGAUGAUUGUCGCGUAUAGCCAACGAGACGUACGUGAAGGAAAAGGAUCAGGAUCCCGCUGAGUUCGAGCAACCCGACAACGAUCAAGGCAAGUGCAGACACCAUUUGAUCAUUUUGAACCUACUCAUUAAUGUCAUUUACUUUAUAUGCAUGUGUCCAAUGAAUGCAAACCCUAAGGACAUGACUAGCCUUACUUACCACUCCUUGUUCACCUAGGGUUAUGUAUAUGGGUAGACUAGGUUAUAUUAGGUUCGCUUAGCUGCUCUACUCAUCUUAUACACAUGCCUAAACAAGUAAUAAUCUCUACUUAACUUGAUGCUUAAACUGUGCUGAACCUUUGGUCACUGCGGUGAUGGCGAUGUUGGAUGCUUACGAGCAUCAUGAUGAUGGUGGUGACAGGGGGAGCGGGUACUGUUGGUGGUCUGGUUUGCCGGGCGUACCCGUCUCUUCUCUCCAUAAGGACUUAGUCAGGGAGCGGCCCCCUGGGACAUACAGUGCAGCUCCAAGCUAUAUGGCUCUGGCUUGACUAAUUAGCAGGACCUCCACUAGUAGGGUGUUACUUUCCGGGUAGGUGUGAGGAAGUAACUUGGGUAAUGUAUAUUAAGACGUCAGUUGCUCGGUAUGCCAUGGCUAUGGGUAUCGACUGCCGAGCGCCGCGGCAAAAACUUGCGAGUGGCAUCCUAUUAGUUGGACCCUGUGAAAGGUCUCAUAAUGAUACCCUACCUGCUCACCUUGGCAGUGUUUUGGGGAGUAAUGACCCCGGGUAAAUGGGAAUCACGACUUGGAGUGAAUGUGCACACCUCUAUAGAGUGUAAAACUGAUAUAUCAGCCAUGCUCACGGUCGCGAGCGGCACAUACCCUCACUUGAUGAGCAAAUUGGAUUCACUGGAUACUUGGAGAUGGAACUUGGCGAGGUUACUACCUCGUGUUUUGGCGGAAUGGCUAUUCUGUGUUGGCAGGAUUGCCAUCCUAUGUUAAUAAUUGGGGUUAAUCCCUAGACUACUAUAAUUAUUAGGAUAGUCAUUUAAAAGAUGCUAAUUACUACUUACACUAAUAAAGGGUUGGGUUUAUGCUACUCAUAAUUAGUAGUAGGUUGUUCUAAUAAUAGUCAUAAUUAAAAGUGAUCAACUAAAAUGCUACCGCAGUCAAACCAAGUCAGCUUUACCUUGUUUUAAGCCUUGCAUGUCAUUACUUUUCGUCUGUGCUUGCUGAGUUCGACAUGAGCUCACCCUUGCUAUAAUCAUUAAAGGUUGCUCGGACGAUCAGGAGUACAAUUGCGAUUUCCCUGACGACUACCCUGAGUCACCUGGUUGUUAGGCUCGUGUGGUUCUACCGUCGACUGAAGGGUCGAGAUGGCGGACUAGAGGGGGGGUAAACUUGUUUGCAUAUCGGUCAUCUAGUGCCACUUGAGCGAUCUAACUUUGCAUACGUGUUAGGAUCGAGUGGCGUGGCAAGUUGAGAGGCUAACUCCUUUGGAAAAAUGUUUAUGAAAAUGCUAACACACUUGCACAUGGUGGUGUACACUUGGUGGUGUUGGCACAUUUGCAAAGGAGAAGGUGUUGAAGUUGAUUUUGUUCAACUUGGAGAAGAGAGAGAAGUCUUUCGGUGUUCUCCGGACAUUAGGAUGGCUUUUAGAUUGGAAUACUACUUUGAUCCAUUUUGAUUUGGAUUGAGUAUUCAUAUAUAUUGGAUAGUACUCUAAGUAAGCUUUCCAAAAUGUCCAAGAUCAUCGAAUUUGGAGUUCGGAGCUAGAAGUUAGCAACCUAACAAGUUGAACUGCAGGCACAGGACGCUGAGAGUCCGGUGCGCACAGGACGAGUCCGGUGGCACAGGACGCUGAGAGUCCGGUGCGCACAGGACAGUCCGGUGUCACAGGACGCUGAGAGUCCAGUGCUGCUGCAAGUUUGCGUUGCUCUCUGCGUGUGAGUCCGGUGCGCACAGGGCGCGUCCGGUGUGAAGCAGCAGAGCGUCCGUCCGGUGUGAAGCAGCAGAGCGUCCGGUGCUACUGUUCCAGACGCGCGUGCGUGUGCUAGCCGUUGGCGGCAACGGUCAAGUUCAAACGGCCAGUGACACGUGGCUGUUUUUGGAGCACAGGACGCACUGUUCCAGCGUCCGGUGCUACCUACAGUGAGUCCGGUGCUCACGACUUUUGCCCAGUGAAGGGGCAACGGCUAGUUUAGCCCUUGGAGCUAUAAAUAGAAGUGGUGGCCGGCCUUGGCCGGUGCUGAGUGUUGACGGUUCUUAAGUAUCAAUUUUAAUUAUCAAAUAAACAAGAGAAAGGACCAAUAUGCAAACAACACCUAGAAUUAGGGUUUGAUCUAACAGAAUUCCAUGAGUUUUGUUGUUUAUCUGUUUCUGCAGGGGGUUAUCAGGAAAUAAGGAAGAAAGGCCUACAUGUCGGGAUUACAUAGAGAUAUCAACGCACCGCGCAAUUUUACAUCAUCUAGAAGACUCCAGAAGCCACGAGACCGAAGCGGAGGCAAAACUGGGCCAGGCCCAGGGCGCCCGCCCUGGUAGCCUAGGCGCCCACCCCCUGCUGGAGCCAAAUCAGGACUCUUUCGUUCGGGAUAUUCCACCGACCUAUUGGAUCAAGAAAAACACAGUACCACCUCGGCUAUCGACCCAAAAACGCAUAGAAGGGGAGGACUAUAUAAGCAAGGCCCCCCUGGCCCCUGGAGAAAACAUGAAGAAAUUAUCAUAGAGACUGAGGGGGCCCUCGAAGGAAAACCUCUUCUCUAAUUAAUAUUUCUUUUUAGGCUUAGCAAUCAAUGUAAGGUAGAAAUAGAUCUUCUAGUUUCUACUAGAUUGAGAGAGAUAGAGUUGAGGUGUAGAGUGGAGGAAGCCCGGCCUGUCGGUGUCUACUCCAAGCUUGUACCUGCGGGAUCAAGUUCUCCUAACCCGAAGCUUGCUCCUAGGAUUCUUCAGUAAUUCGACUUCUAAAUUCUAGUAAGUUCUUGUUUUAUUGUUCUUAUGGUAUAUGAGUUUACUUUAAUCUCUUCGCGUAGAGUUUAGAGUAAUCAUUCCUGGCGUAAACGUGGUGUUUAGGCUGGGGUACUCAUAGAUAUUCCCUGACUAGCUGGACCGUGGUAGUAGUGAGGAACGUGACAAUUCCGAGCUACCUUUGUAGAUCACAUCUCGUUAGCAGGAAGGAUAGGGUUUAUAGGUGCGGGUCGAACAUCCUUUGUGGUGUCUAGAUUCUGUUAGCCUCCCCAUUAGAACAGUAGAUCAUCCUUACCAAGGUUAGAAAGAGACUACGGUUGCAGUCUUCUCUAUUUAUCACUCACAUCGAAAGACAUUCUUUGUGCCUAAAGGUUAGUAGUAAUAGACCGGUUAGUCAGAUGCACUCUUUCUCCUAGUGGUAAAAAAAUAAAUACGAUACCCCGGAUAAUUUCCCGGGUGAAGUGCUCACCGAUAUCCGUGCGCUUGCGGAUCAAUUCCUUAUUGCGUUCCCAAAUAUCAACAAGCAUUUCUGGCGCCGUUGCCGGGGAGAAAGACGGUUGCUGAGAUAACCUGAGUCUUGCUACUAGCUUGUAUCUAUACUUUUAUCUUUUCUUAUCUUUUAUAUCCUUUAUUUAUUUUCUUUAUUCUUACCUUAUGGAAAACCAAAAUUCUAAAUCGAUCCAUGAGUCUGCAAUCCCUUUAGCAACUGACCUUUUACCAUGGGAAUCAUCACAGCCUAUCCAAACACCCCAGUAUAAGUUAAGUUCUAGGUUGAUUGCCAUGAUUCAAAACCUAUCUUUUUCGGGAAAGGAAGACGAAAACCCUUACCUUCACAUUAGAGAUUUUGAGCAAACAUGUGAUUGUCUUCGCAUUGAAGGCAUUUCUGAUAAGACUUUACGUUGGAAGCUUUUUCCUUUUUCUCUAAGGGGAGAAGCUAGACAAUGGUACAGUCAGAAGGUAAGUCAACAACAAGGUGAAUGGGGAGUUUUACGAGCCAACUUUUAUCUAGAUUUCUAUUCCCUUGACCGUAUAGCCGACCUUAGACUCGAAGUCCUAUCUUUUAAACAAAAAGAUAAUGAAACUUUGGGAAAAUCCUGGAAACGUUUUUCUGAUCUUUUAGAAUCUGGUCCAAACCUUAAUCUUGAAGACCCUGUUCUUUUAUUUCACUUUUUUCGAGGUCUUCAUAGAAAUCACAAACAAAUGCUACACACAAUGUCUAGAGGUUCUUUCUUUCGCAUCCCUGCUGAUGAAGCAAGAGUGAUCCUAGAUAGAAUCCUAGAAGCUGAGAUGGAUAAUACCCUUCAUGAUGAAACCUACGAAGCCGAAGUAGACACUCUGCCAAAUUCUUCAUCUACUUUAGCUAUCCCAAGUUCUGAGCCUCAAGAGGAAGAAAUUCCACUACCGGACUUCAUGCUGGAUAUAGAAUCCGAUCUUUUUGCCGAUUUUGGAAAUAUUUCAAACUACCAUUCUAUUGACAAACCCUGUCGGUGUUUUUCCCCCGGGGGGUCACACCAACGAGUAAAUUUGUAUGCGUGCUCCCCUUUUCGGAUGGUGAUGCAAGAAGACACAGAGAUUUAUCCUGGUUCGGGCAAGAGAAGGCCCUACGUCCAGCGGGGGGAGAGAGUUUGUAUUAUCUUGCACCUAAGUGCUUGUACAGGGGCGAAUACAAGCGUGGUAUGAAGUGUGUAGCUCUACUACGUGUGUGUGUGUUCUUGUGUUGUGAUGUCCCCCUCUUCUAUUCCCGAGUCUCUCCUUUUAUAGCUCCAAGGAGAGACACAGGGUACAUGCGUAGAUGUUAGAGUAGGGAUCGAUAGCCGCAUGGAGCGCUGACCUACUCGAGGCUUCCGUACGGUAUGGCCUCGAGCCGUCCCAUCUUGAUAGCUCGGUGAUGAUUACGCGUGCUCCUGUGUUCUGCCCUGCCAGCCGCCUUGUGCUGGUUCUGAGGUCGCAUGCUUGUACGGUAUGGUGGCGGACCCGACGGGGUAGCUGUGAUGAAGUCAGUCGACGCCCAACUUGUCCCUGGGAAGGGACCCUGUUUGGUCGAGGGUCGGACGCCGUGUAAUAUGCUGGUAUCUGGAGCGCUGACCUUGGGUGUCUCGAGGGGGUCCCGAUUAGACGUUCCAUCCUUGUUUCCUGCGUCCUGACACGCCCUGGGUCGUUCGGUGGGAAGGCUGCAAAAAGAACGAUGGGACAGAAGCUUGCUCCCUAUCACGCCCUCCGUGACCUGUGUGUUAGGUGGGGAAGCGUCAGGUGCAUUUAAUGCUCCGGCCCGCGUGCGCGCGUCGGGCGGCGGACAGUGUCCUCGCGCCCGACGCCUCUCGGUUCGCUCGAGCCCGCUUCCGUCAUCGACGGCAGUCGUCGCUCGAGUCCUCAACCGAUUCGCUCGACGUUAUUUCCAUCUUCGAGGCUGCGACCGUCGAUGGCGGCGCAUACGUAAGAUUAGAGCGUCGAAUUAAGGGUCUCGACCUUCCUACGGGCAAUCUCAUAACGUGCAUCACUGAGGGUACCCCUUACCGAUACCCUCAACAGUAGCCCCCGAGCCCUUGGAGGAGUUUUUGACUCCUUCGAGGGCUAUGUUAUCUAAUUCGCAGAAACGCUUUCGACACCAGUGGUGGAAGAUUCCGAUUGGCUCGUUUUUGCCCGGGGGUUUCGACGUACUCUCGAUAGAGCGAGCGUCUUCCAUCCCAAAUUGAGUUCCUAGCGGGUAGUCCAAGUGAGAACCUGUGCCCCUUUCGAGGGGGUCAGCUGUAGCCCGGAGGCGUCCUCAUAAAGCAGGGUCGACGUGGUUGGGGAUACCAGUCUCAUUCGAUAGAGGCCGGCGGCUCGAUGCCUCCCGUCGGGGGGAUUCCUCUCGACUAUCUCGACCCUACCUUGAACAUCGCCAGCGAGUCCUCGAGGCGGGCCUCGAUCUUCGACCGCUCGCUGGGGAUCCCUGACUCUGGCGCUCGAGAUCGGCUGUCGAACCCUUUUGGCGGGCCAGCCAUCGAUCUCUCGAGACUUUUGUGGUUACGUCCCUUGGCUUACGAGGGAAGGAAACGACCGUGGCGGUUCGCCUUUCUGCCCGUUGGGCGCGCCUUUCUAAGCGGAUGACGUUACAACACCGUAUCGGCGAGGAAUUCGGAGAGUCCGGCCUGUGAGGAGAGAGAGAGAGGACUGUUAGGCGGCGCAUUUAUGGGGGGAGUUACCUUACUUCUCGGAUCUGUCCGUUGGCGGACAGCUGCCUAUAAAUACGUCGUCGCGUCACCGCUGUUCCUCUCCCUUCCGCUUUCUCGCUCCUGCUCCUUCGCUGCCUUUGCUUUCUCGCCAUCUCACGCGCACAGGCCCCCUCGAGCUGUAGCGAACCCACCGUCCCUUUAGCCGAGAUGCCUGUAAGACUCGUCGCCGCCGACGACUGGCGCCCGUCGUCGAUGACGGAGCGCCGGCUGUUGGAGCUUGAGAAGGAGGGACUGCUGCGCCGCCGCACCUCGCUGUCGUCGCCAGAGUGGAUCGCGCCGCCGGCGAGCCACAGGGCGCCUCAGCCGCCCGAGGGCUACGUGGUGUCAUUCGCCAAGUUUCACCGCCACGGUCUGGGCGCGCCUCCAAGCCGCUUCAUGCGGGCCCUCUGCUUCCAUUAUGGGGUGGAGCUCCAGCACUUCUCUCCGAACGCCAUCACCGUAGCGGCGGUCUUCGCCGCCGUGUGUGAGGGCUUCCUGGGGAUGAUGCCGCACUGGGAUCUGUGGCUCCACCUCUACAGGGGCGAGCUGUUUCACGCCUCCACCGGAACCACGGGCGUAAGGAAGCCCGUGCGAGCGGGUUGCCUCAAUCUGGUGCAGAAGACGGGGAAGACGGACCGGCCGCGGGAGUACAUCCCGGUAGGGUUGUCGACCAACCACGCCGGCUGGGACUCCCAAUGGUUCUAUCUGCGGAACGACGACAACCUCCUGCCUUCUUACUCGGGCCGUCUGAUCUUGGAGCGUCCAGCGGACUGGACGUACGGCGUCGUCCAAGCUCAUCAGUCUCGGCUCGACCCUCUCCUCGACGCCCUGAAGAAGCUUCGCCAGGAAGGUUUGACCGCCGCCCUCGUCCUCUCGGCCGUCCAUCAUCGGAGAGUUCUCCCUCUGAUGUCACGACCGUUGAGGAUGGACGAGAUGGGCCCUGGCGUCUCAUCUCGGGACCUCGAGGCAUGUCGGAUGUCCAACGAGCCUCCGGCGGACGACGAAGUCGCGGCCCGAGUCAGGGCCGCAAUUGCCGGUGACUUUCAGCCGGAGCAUGUCAACGGCUUCCCUAUGAGACCUGACGCAGGCUCGAUCGAUCUGGUACGCUUUCUUCUUACGCGCAUCCCCGAUUCUGGGUUUCCUUUCUCCCCUCUCUUUUUUCUAAGUCUACCUUAGUUUUGGCAGGGUCGGAUUGAUGUCCGGUCCUCGAGGCCUCCGGUAAAGGAGGACGAGGUCGAACGCGACAAACGGCGCCAAUCCGCUGAAAAGCUGAAGUCUGCCAAGGACUCCGCAAAGAAGGGGGAGAAGAAGAAGAACCUCGACCGCCAAGCAUUAGAGGCGCGUCGAGCCAAAUCCAGGCAGAGGGGGGAGCCGGAGGAAGAAUCCCCCAAUGAUGAUGAUGACGACGACGAGGGUAGCGACGAUUCCGAGGGGAUGGCGUCGCGCCUCGAUCGGAUUCUCGAGGGCCCGCCUCGAGGUGACGUCGACGCCCUCCGGACGGAGGCGCCAGAGGAGGGUGCGAGCGGAUCUCGUCGUCCCCGGGCCGACGCUCCUUCCGCGCUCAAGGCGGGCCAAGACGCACCGCGCCCUCCCCCGGCACCCAGGGUGAGCGGUACGGCUAGGUCCCAGGCGUCGGGGCCGCUAACUCGCGGUCGCGCCGCGGCCUCUGAGAAAGGAGACGCCGGCCGUAGGAGCGUGAGUCCCGGCGUCCGCCAGGCGGGGACCGACGUACCUAAGCCAGUUCCUGUCCUCGAGGGGCCUAGAGCCCCGACGCGGGGUGGUUCGAGGCCCGCUGGUCGGGGUGGCGGAAAGCGAGCCGUUCUUCCCGUGGGGUAAGCCCUUUUGAUGUCGUGGUCUUUGUCCCCCCAUUCUUUCACCUUUCCUCACAUGCCGACUUUUUCUCAGGCUGAAACGGACCCUCGAGCAGGCCCAACCGUCCAUGGCCAAGAGGCUCAGAACGGGUGCCGCCUCCACGGAGCCAGGUUCGCAGUUAAUUCCUGGGUGUUGCGAUAUUCUUACGUUGGUUAUCAUAACGUCUGACCCUUACCCUUUGUUUUGUAGGCUCAUCCAGCACCCAACCUCCAGCCGGCGUCGAGAGGGCUUUACCUCGUCCCGCGCCUACUCCGCCGCCGCCGACUCACGAUGCGGCCCCCCAGACGCGAGCGUCAGAGGGAGCCCCCGAGCCCUCUCGAUUGGGGGUCGAGGGGGAACCCAUCACCAUCAGCGAUACGUCUGAUGGCAACGAAGCGCCUGGGGGCGCUCGGCCUAUGGAGGAAGAAGCAUCGACCCCCAACGUCGCGGGACGGACUCCCUGGCCUGCAGGCCUUCGAGCUCUCGAGGCGCAAAGGAAGAUGGUGGAGGAGGAGGAGCGGGAGCGCGAGGCGACGCAGCCGUCACUGGAGCAGCAGCAGCAGCGACCCCAGCCGGAGGAGCGGCUGCAGCACCAGCAGGAGGAGCAGCAGCAGCAGCUGGGGCAGCAACAGCAGCUGGGGGGCCAAGAGGACGAGCCACUCGAGCCCCCGCCUCAAGUUUUGGCCGAACCGGCGCCACUGGCGUCGCAAGAGCCCGGCGAUCAAGAGGGAAAUUUGCCGGUUUACGGACCUCCCACCCCAGCGUGGCUCCUCCCGGGGGCGCCUGCCGCGAUCCGGGCAGAGUCGGGGCGAGCGGACGGAGUGGUGGCGCUCGCCUGCAUGAUGCGCACCCCCACCGACCCCGAGUCCGAGAUCAAGAGGACAAUCUACGGCAUGGACGGGAUCGCCCCAGGGUUCCUCCGGGAGCGUCGAGCAUGGGAGGACCGCUUUCCCUCUGAGGAGGAUGAGAUCGGGUCGUCUGGGAGCAAGGACAGUACGUGGAAGACGGUGGACGACGACGGGCGGUUCCCUUGCCUCGCCGACCUGUUCUUGCGCCACGGGGGUUCCCUCGAGACCGUCGAGAACUUUCUCCGUGGCGUCAAGGUGCGGGCUGAUCGGGAGAUGGAGAACUGGUGUCCCGAUCGGAUUCGUAUCCGAGCUUCCAGCGACCCGUCCGAGCCCAAUAUCUUCCUCGAUGACAAGAAGGAAGUCGAGAAGUGGGAGCAUGUCGAGGAGCUCCGCCUUUGGAUGAAACACGUGGUGGGGCUCCUAUCGGACGUCAUCAACAACGGGCUUGGGCCAGUUUAUUUUGUAAGUGUUUCUCGAGCUCCAAUCUUUGUGGUGCUUUCAGGUUUCUGUGUUCUAAUCCCCCUGACCCCUGAUUCGCAGGAUAUGAAAGAGACCUCUCGCAUCAAGUCCAGCUUCAUACAUGCCACGAGGGGCGGAUGGGAGCAGCUUCCCCUCCUCAAGGAUCAACUCCUCGAGUCGCAGGAAAAGCUACUUAAAGCUUACAAAGAUCUCAUAGCACUCGAGGAGGAGAAGAAGGUGAGGGAGGCUGCUUUGGCCGAGGCCCGAGAGGUCUCGAAGAAGGCGGAGGAGGAGGCGAUGCGGCUACGGGAGCGGGCUCUUACGGUCGAGGAGGCCGCGUCCAGAGCCCGGGAGGAGGCCCUGUCCCACAAGAGCGUCAUCGCGGACCUGGACAAGGAGAAGGGCCUUCUCCAAACCGACCUGGACUCCCUCCGCGAUACCUUCCAAAAGAUGAAAGUGGCGUUCGUGGACAAUGAGGUCGCCAGGGGUGCCGCCGAGGACGCAAAGAAGAAGGCCCUCGAAGACCUCGAGAUGGAGCGAGCUCGAUCCCGCAGUCUCUCUGACGACGUCGGGCGUCUGAAGGGAGAAUUGCUGGAGAAGAGUGGAGCCGUCGCUCAGGCUGGCAAGGUGAUCGAAGAUCUCCGCGUUGCCAAUACUGAGCUGGCGCGUUCCAACAGAGAGAUCGAGCGUGCCAACACCAGAUUGGUCGGCGAGAACACGGCCCUAGAGGAGAGCAUCAAAGGUAUGUUUCCUUUGUCGAAUUUCCUUUUCGAGGUGUGCUUGAGUUUUUCCUAAAGCUUCUUUGUAUUGGUACUUAUAGGGCUCAAGGACGAACUCCUGGCCGCCCAAGCCGAGGCUCGCAACGCCAAAGCUCAGCUCGAGGCUAAGGUUGCUUUGAACCGUCGAGUGCGGACGGCGAUAAGCGAUCUCUCGACCUCUUGGGAGGUCGAGCCUAUGGAUGAGUCGAGGGAGGACACUCGAGGCGACGCCCUGAUCGACCAGUUGUGCUACAUAGGCGCAACGCUGCGAGAUCGGGUGCGGGAUGCCCUCCACAUCGGGGUGAAGCGGGCGAUGGCGGUUGUCUGCUCGGGCUUCUCCUACGACAUGGAGGUGGUGUCCCAUGGCUUCGUCACCGACAUCUCCAAGACCGACGCGGAGAACGAGGAGAGGCUCCAUGCCUUGAUCGACGACGCGGAGGCUCCUGGGGAAAGGUUGGCCAAGCUCUUCGAGCCUGAGGUGCUCCCUCCUGAGGCUAGCUCGGGCGGAGGCGAGGGCGGUGAGGAUCGUGCCGUUGACUGAGGCCUGCGAGCCUGCUCAGGGUGCCUGAGGCCCCUUGUACGAUACUUUAUUAAUUUUGCUGUUACAUGAUAUAGUAUCUUUUCGUAAUUGUUAACUACUUAUUUGUCUUUCCGCUCGAGGUUCCUUUGUUUCUCUUCAUUCCUACGUUUGUAUCCCUUGCUCGACCUUUCGUCAGAAACAAACUUGAUUUCCGUAGCCCGGGGGCGUGGGAGUUUUCCGGCUCAUUAUCCCUCGGCCUUUGAGGGGCUCAAGGUGCCUUAGCUACUCGAACCGUGUAAGGUUUACCAAGCAAGAAAAGAAAAUUUCUUGGCUUUUUCGACGCUUGGGGAGGGGUCGUCCCCCUGGUAGCCCCCGAGGGGGUGCGGACUAUGAUGGGUCAUGGUCGGCAUCCCCUUUUGACGUCGAGACUAUAACUCGUAACUAUUUUUGGUACAGAAAGAAGCUGCUCGAGGGAAAGACUUUAUUUAUUCAUGCGUUCAUUUACAAAGUCCUCGUUCAAAAAGUAGGAUCGUAAAUCUAGGACUUCUAGGGGUAGAAUCGACGUAGCUGUUCGAUGUUCCAUGCGUUGGUGAAGACUGCCCCCUUUUCGUCCGCCAAUUUGUACGUUCCAGGCUUAAGGACCUCGGCCACCACAUACGGGCCUUCCCAAGGUGGGGUCAGCUUGUGGCGUCCUUGGUUGCUUUGCCGGCGUCGUAGGACAAGGUCGCCUACGUUGAGGUCCCUCCUGCGCACGUGCUUGUCGUGGUAGCGUCGGAGUCUCUGCUGAUAUCUAGCAGAGUUGAGGAGGGCCAUGUCUCGAGCCUCCUCGAGUUGGUCGACCGCGUUUUCCUGAGUCUCUUUGUUCGAUUGCUCGUUGUAAGCCUUGAGUCGUGGUGACCCAUACUCGAGGUCUGUGGGGAGGAUAGCUUCAGAGCCGUAGACCAUGAAGAACGGGGUGUAUUUUGUGGCCCUGCUUGGCGUUGUCCUAAGGCUCCAUAGGACUGAGGAAAGCUCCUCGACCCAUUUCUUGCCGAAUUUCUUCAAUUGAUUGUAGAUCCUUGGCUUGAGUCCUUGCAAAAUCAUGCCGUUGGCACGCUCGACCUGGCCGUUAGUUCGAGGGUGGGCUACUGCGGACCAGUUCACUCGGAUGUGAUGCUGAUCGCAGAAAUCCAAGAACUUUCUGCCAGUGAACUGGGUGCCGUUGUCGGUGAUGAUGACAUUGGGGAUCCCAAACCGAUGGAUGAUGUCGGAGAAGAAAAGGACGGCCUGCUCGGAGCGGAUGUUGGUGAUGGGUCGAGCCUCGAUCCAUUUGGAGAACUUGUCGAUUGCCACCAGCAAAUGGGUAUAUCCUCCUUUCGCCUUUUGUAGAGGGCCUACUAAGUCGAGCCCCCAUACCGCAAACGGCCAGGUGAUGGGGAUCAUCUGAAGAGCGUGUGCGGGCAGGUGCGUCUGUUUGGCGUAGAAUUGGCACCCAUGACACGAGCGUACGAGCUCGAUGGCAUCCGCCACGGCCGUUGGCCAGUAAAAGCCUUGCCGAAAAGCGUUUCCUACAAGGGUCCGUGGGGCGGCGUGGUGGCCACAAGCCCCUGAGUGCAGGUCGUCGAGGAGUUUUCGACCUUCCUCUACGGUGAUGCAACGUUGUAAGACCCCCGUCGGGCUCCGUCGAUAUAGCUCGUUGUCUUCGCCAUAGAUCACAUAUGAUUUGGCCCGUCGAGCGAUACGACGAGCUUCUGUCUUGUCUUCUGGCAACUCACCGCGGAUAAGGCAGUCGAGGAACGGUGUGCGCCAAUCGAAUGGUCGACCCGGUCGUCGUUCUAUUUCCAUCACCUCUUCCUCCAUCAAGAGCGCAUCGGCAGCAUUGGUUGGUUGGGCGAUGGUGGCGUCGACGCCAGCCCCCGUGCCUAGGUCGACGGAUGGCUCGUGAAGAUCCUUUGAGAAUGCAUCAGGCGGCACUGUGCCUCUGGUAGAUGCAAUCUUGGCGAGUUCGUCGGCUGCCUCGUUGUAGCGUCGAGCGACAUGGACAAGCUCGAGGCCGUGGAACCUGUCUUCGAGUCGACGCACCUCCUUGCAGUAUGCUUCCAUUUUUGGGUCAUGGCAACUCGAGGUUUUCAUUACCUGGUCGAUGACGAGUUGGGAGUCACCUCGGACGUCGAGGCGUCGGACUCCUAACUCGAUAGCGAUCUUAAGACCGUUGACGAGGGCCUCAUAUUCUGCGACAUUGUUAGAUGCGGCAAAAUGAAUCCUGAUUACAUACCUCAUGUGGACGCCCAAGGGUGAGAUGAACAGCAGGCCGGCCCCGGCCCCAGUUUUCAUGAGUGACCCGUCGAAAUACAUCGUCCACAACUCCGCCUGGACCUGAGUCGGGGGAAGCUGGGAGUCUGUCCAUUCCGCGACGAAGUCUACCAGGGCCUGCGAUUUGAUGGCCUUUCGAGGCGCGUAAGUGAGAGUCUCGCUCAUGAGCUCGACCGACCACUUUGCUAUCCUUCCCGUGGCCUCCUUGCUCUGGAUUAUCUCGCCCAAGGGGAAAGAAGAGACCACCGUGAUAGGAUGACCAAGGAAGUAAUGCUGCAAUUUGCGGCGGGCAAGGAUCACGGCGUAGAUCAGCUUCUGGAUUUGGGGGUAACGCGCCUUAGUCUCCGAAAGCACCUCGCUGACGAAAUAGACUGGCCUUUGGACUGGCAGCGCGUGACCCUCCUCUUGUCUUUCGACCACCACCGCCGCGCUGACGACCUGGGUCGUCGACGCGACGUAGAGGAGCAGCGGCUCCGCAGGGUGAGGUGGAACCAGGACGGGUGCCAAGGUCAGCGUCUUUUUCAGUUUUUCGAGUGCUUUCUCGGCCUCGGGGGUCCAAGAGAAACGCUCGACCUUCUUCAGGAGUCGAUAUAAUGGUAAUGCCUUUUCUCCUAGUCUCGAGAUGAAACGGCUCAGAGCCGCCAGGCACCCCGUGACUCUCUGCACACCCUUGAUGUCUCGGAUCGGCCCCAUUUUCGUGAUGGCCGAGACUUUCUCGGGGUUGGCCUCGAUACCGCGCUGCGAAACAAUAUACCCUAGGAGCAUGCCUCGAGGCACGCCGAAAACGCACUUCUCGGGAUUGAGCUUGAUCCGGCUGGUGCGUAAGCAGCUGAAGGCAACCUCGAGGUCCUGGAUUAGGUCUCCUCGUUGCUUUGACUUGACGACAAUGUCGUCGACGUAGGCCUCGACCGUUGAGCUUAUAUGUUCGCCAAAUACGUGGAGCAUGCAACGUUGAUACGUGGCUCCCGCGUUUCGAAGCCCAAAUGGCAUGGUCACGUAGCAAUACAUCCCGAAAGGUGUGAUGAAAGAGGUCGCGAGCUGGUCGGACUCUUUCAUUUUUAUUUGGUGGUAACCAGAAUAAGCAUCAAGGAAAGAAAGGGUUUCACAUCCCGCGGUAGAAUCGACAAUCUGAUCAAUGCGUGGCAAUGGAAAGGGAACUUUUGGACAUGCUUUAUUCAAACUAGUAUAAUCGACACACAUCCUCAUUUUCCCAUUCUUUUUCUUAACUAAUACAGGGUUCGCUAACCAGUCAGGAUGAUGAACCUCCUUGAUGAAUCCGGCCGUCAAAAGCUUGUGGACUUCCUCGCCAAUGAUCUUGCGCUUUUCCUCGUCGAAUCGGCGCAACCGCUGCUUCACUGGCUUGGAACCGGCUCGAAUCUCCAAGGAGUGCUCGGCGACUUCCCUCGGUAUGCCCGGCAUAUCCGAGGGACUCCAUGCAAACAUAUCAGCAUUUGCACGGAGAAAGUCGACGAGCACGGCUUCCUAUUUGGGGUCGAGGUCGGUGCUGAUCGUCAGCACCUUGCCGUCGGAGUUGUUGGGGUCGAGCGGGAUCUUCUUAGUUCCUUCCGCCGCCUCGAAGCUGCCCGCAUGACGUUUAGGCUCUGGAGCCUCAGCGGCCAUGGCCUCGAGCUUUGCAACGAGCUCGGUGGAGCUCUCGACCGCUUCCCCGUACUCGACGCACUCGACGUCGCACUCGUACGCAUGCUCGAAGGAGGAACUGACAGUGAUGACGCCUUUGGGACCAGGCAUCUUCAGCUUCAAGUAUGUGUAGUUGGGUAUAGCCACGAACAUGGCGUAGCCCGGGCGCCCGAUGAUGGCGUGGUACGUGCCUCGGAACCCAACCACCUCAAAGGUGAGGGUCUCCUUCCUGAAGUUGGCCGCCGUGCCGAAGCAGACCGGCAGGUCGAUUCGACCUACUGGCAGUGCCUUUUUCCCUGGUACGACGCCAUGGAAACCGCCGGCGCUUGGCUGGAGGCGUCCUCUAUCGAUGCCGAGGAGAUCGAGGGUCUCAAGGUAGAUGAUGUUGAGGCUGCUGCCACCAUCCAUCAGCACUUUCGAGAGUCGGGUGUUGACGAUGAUGGGGUCGACGACGAGCGGGUAGACGCCUGGGGCGACUACCUUGUCAGGGUGGUCUUCUCGGUCGAAAGUGAUGGGGGUGCUCGACCAGCUAAGGUACUGGGGCACCGCCAUUCUUGCUGUAAAGACUUCGCGACGCUCCCUUUUGCGCUGCCUCGCGGUUAACUGAGUCAAAGGCCCGCCAUAGAUCAUGUAGCAGUCGUGGACGGCGGGGAAGCCGUCGUCAUCUUUGUUGUCCUCCUUGCCGCCAGCCUUCUCCUUCUUGGAGUCCUCACGCGUAUCUUUUUUGAACCCCUGACCGUCGAAAUGCUUUCUCAGCAUACGACAGUCCUUGAGUUUGUGGUUAGCGCCUCCCUUAUGGUAAGGGCACGGCUCCUCCAACAUCUUGUCGAAGAUGGCUCCCUCCGGAGGGCCUCGCGGCUUCUUUCGAUCCAUCGCGGCGACGAGGUCGUCACCCGAAUCUCCCUGGUGGAACUGCCGCACUUUCUGCUUCUUUUUAUUUUUCUUGAGGCCUCGACUGGAAGUCCCAUCUUCAUCGACGGGCUGCUUGCCUUUUCUUACUUCUGAGCUGAAGAAGGCGCCGACUGCCUCCUCCCCUGCCGCGUAGUUAGCUACUACGUCCAUCAGCUCGUCGACGGUCUGAGGUCGAUUGCGGCCUAAUUCCCGCACCAAGUCUCGACUGGUGGUGCCCGAGACAAACGCCAAGAUGACGUCGUGGUCGGGGAUGUGUGGCAACUCAGUGCGCUGCUUCGAGAAGCGUCGAGCGUACUCCCGAAGAGUCUCUCCUGACUUCUGCUUGCAUUUGCUGAGGUCCCACGAGUUCCCUGGCCGUAUAUAGGUCCCUUUGAAAUUACCCUCGAAGACUUUGACCAGAUCAACCCAGUUGUGAAUCUGAUUGGCAGGGAGUUCCUCGAGCCAUCGACGGGCGGUGUCGGAGAGGAAAAGGGGUAGCUGUCUGAUGAUGGCUCGAUCAUCCCCUCGAGCGCCACCUAGCUGACAAGCCAGCCUGAAAUCGGCCAGCCAUAGCUCUGGCUUGGUUUCUCCAUUGUACUUCGCGAUGCUGGUUGGGGGUCGAAAUGGACUAGGCAGGGGCGUGCUGCGAAUCGCCCUGCUGAACACCCGCGGGCCCGGUGGCUCGGGGGCCACCCGGUCCUCGUCGCUGUCGUACCUCCCACCGCGAUGCGCGCUAUAACCACGUUCUUCCGCGUCUCCGUGCCGGCGGCGUCUAUUUUCUUUGAUGUCGUGUCGUGCGUCGUGUCGACGUUGAUUGUCGGCAGGGAGGAUGAGAGCGGUCUUUCUACCUCGAGGGGGAGGUUGUUGCUGGACAGACACCUCCUCUUCGAUUAGAGGCUGUUCGUCGCGCUUCUCUGUGGCAGCUCCUCGUCGUCGAGAUGCCGAACUUUCGGCUUGUUGAACUGCUGCCACCUGGAGCAAUGUCUGAACUUCAUCUCGAAUGCGUCGGGCCUGGGAAUUUGAUGGUUCUGGCAUGUUACGUAGCAGCAUCGUCGCUGCCACUACAUUCUGGCCUGCUCGAGGGAAACGGCUGACAGGUUGCUCCGCCUCUGCGUCACCGACGAUCUGUCGAUGUACCUCUCGAGCGCGUCUGCGGACACUUCCGCCCGGCGGGUAGGGCAGGUCUUGUUCGAGGAUUUGCUCGAGCAGGACGAGGCGCUCGCGAUCUUCGUCGAGCUUCAUCUUGAGCUCCCGCAGCUGCGCGAGCUGCGCAGUUCUAUCUUCCUGAGGAAGAGGGUCGAGUCGUCCGUCGUUCCCAGGCGUCCUGGGGUCUUCUUGCGCCGCGGGGGCUCGACCACCCGCAGCAGCAUCCCGUGUCUCGUCGGUGGUUUCUGCCGCCCCGUCGAUGUGAUAGCAUUCCCUCGUAGGGUCAUAGCUGUCUGUCUCGGAGUCGGAGUCCGGUUCGGCGGCGUGGAAACGCCCACAUCCUUCCUCCAGCAAUCGUUGCCUGAGGGAGGUGAUCGAGUAUCGCCCGGGGCCUAGACGGCGGAGGCCUCGUACUCGGGAAAGGUCCGGCAGCUCGGACGCCGGCCGCCGCGGUUCAGAGCUACGUGGGAGGACCAUUGGUCUUUCUACGUACGUCUGGGCGUUUGGGCAUAUCGCCUUGGCGAGCGACGCCGCGGCGUUGUCCAACCCGAACGGCAGUGCCGCCCUUGGAGAGAACAACCCGUGUGGAAGUAGCCUAGCUGCGGUGGGGGAGGGCGCGCGAGACGCGUCUCCCCCCGUCGUCAUGCGGUGCUGAGUCGUCGUGCUUGUUGCUCGGUCACACGGUGUUGCCGACUUGUGGCCCACAUUCUGCCUUGCACGAGUUGUUGGUCGUGCUGAAGCAGAGGGGCCGCAGUGGUGCUGCCCGCGCCUCUUCUUAGGCGGGGAGGCGUGGUGGUGAGGGCGUCUCGGAGCCUUCAACCGUGCUGGCGUAACGCGGACUCCUCCUGGUCCUUUGACUGAGAGCAAGAUCAUGUCGUAGCCGGAGCCCGUAGACAUGAACUCGAGACUCCCAAACCAAAUCACCGUGGAGCGCGGAAGCGGCGAGGCAAGAGUAGCCAUCCGGAAAGUGGUGGGAAAUCGGUGAAAAACACGCAGGACCCCUACCUGGCGCGCCAACUGUCGGUGUUUUUCCCCCGGGGGGUCACACCAACGAGUAAAUUUGUAUGCGUGCUCCCCUUUCCGGAUGGUGAUGCAAGAAGACACAGAGAUUUAUCCUGGUUCGGGCAAGAGAAGGCCCUACGUCAAGCGGGGGGAGAGAUUUUGUAUUAUCUUGCACCUAAGUGCUUGUACAGGGGCGAAUACAAGCGUGGUAUGAAGUGUGUAGCUCUACUACGUGUGUGUGUGUUCUUGUGUUGUGAUGUCCCCCUCUUCUAUUCCCGAGUCUCUCCUUUUAUAGCUCCAAGGAGAGACACAGGGUACAUGCGUAGAUGUUAGAGUAGGGAUCGAUAGCCGCAUGGAGCGCUGACCUACUCGAGGCUUCCGUACGGUAUGGCCUCGAGCCGUCCCAUCUUGAUAGCUCGGUGAUGAUUACGCGUGCUCCUGUGUUCUGCCCUGCCAGCCGCCUUGUGCUGGUUCUGAGGUCGCAUGCUUGUACGGUAUGGUGGCGGACCCGACGGGGUAGCUGUGAUGAAGUCAGUCGACGCCCAACUUGUCCCUGGGAAGGGACCCUGUUUGGUCGAGGGUCGGACGCCGUGUAAUAUGCUGGUAUCUGGAGCGCUGACCUUGGGUGUCUCGAGGGGGUCCCGAUUAGACGUUCCAUCCUUGUUUCCUGCGUCCUGACACGCCCUGGGUCGUUCGGUGGGAAGGCUGCAAAAAGAACGAUGGGACAGAAGCUUGCUCCCUAUCACGCCCUCCGUGACCUGUGUGUUAGGUGGGGAAGCGUCAGGUGCAUUUAAUGCUCCGGCCCGCGUGCGCGCGUCGGGCGGCGGACAGUGUCCUCGCGCCUGACGCCUCUCGGUUCGCUCGAGCCCGCUUCCGUCAUCGACGGCAGUCGUCGCUCGAGUCCUCAACCGAUUCGCUCGACGUUAUUUCCGUCUUCGAGGCUGCGACCGUCGAUGGCGGCGCAUACGUAAGAUUAGAGCGUCGAAUUAAGGGUCUCGACCUUCGUACGGGCAAUCUCAUAACGUGCAUCGCUGAGGGUACCCCUUACCGAUACCCUCAACAAACCCCAAAACGGUCAAUUUAGCAUUUAUUUACCAAGUGAAUAUCAAUUGAGAGAGCUUAUCUCAGUCAUGAGUAGCGAAUGGUUGGAGGAAUCAGAGCUUUCCUCUGAUGUGAUCCGUUUGGACACACCCUCUAUAACUAUACGCUGUGCUUAUAAUUCUGAUCGAUUUAAUGCUCUUUAUAAUCCUGUUGUGGGGAUCAACAUUAUGUCUGAAUCCUUUGCACUUAAACUAUUUAAAAAUCUUAUCUUAACCCCCACAACAAAGGUCAUAAAGGAAUCUUCGGGACGAUUAGUCCCCAGUCUUGGAAUUAUAAAUGUCCUACCUCUUACGGUAGAAGGCUCCAUGGUUCAUUUGAACUUCUAUAUCUUUGAUACAUGGGACUUCGACCUAUUGAUAGGACAACCUUUUAGAAGACUCCUUUAUGAAGGUCAUACUGGAAAGCUACACAUUUCUUUUGGAAAAACCUUUAAAUUCUCAAUAAUAAUUUCACACUCCUUAAACAAUAAGGCCAAGUCAUAUCUUUUGCCUGAUCCUAUGGAGGAAGUAAAGGCUGCAUCUCUAGAGCUUAUAGAUGAACCAGACUUAGAAGACGAAACUCCUUUCUUCACAGAAGAAGAAGACGAACCUUCUGAGCCUGAACCCUUAGAUGAGUUUGCAGAAACACCUAGACCCCCCAUAGAGCUUAAAACUUUACCACCCGGUCUUACCUAUGCUUUCCUAAACAAUAAUCCAGAGUUUCCUGUGAUCAUUAGCGAUAAACUCACUCAGGAUCAAACUCUGCGAUUAAUGACCAUUCUUGAGAAACAUCACUCAGUAUUCGGCUACUCACUUCAAGAUCUUACAGGAAUCAGUCCUAUAAUUUGUACCCAUCGUAUUCCAAUAGAUCCUUCUGUUACACCCUCUCGAGAACCCCAACGUAGACUUAACAACACUAUGAGAGAGGUAGUUAAAAAGGAAGUUAUUAAGUUGCUGCAUGCAGGGAUUAUAUAUCCUGUGCCGCACAGUGAGUGGGUGAGCCCAGUCCAAGUUGUGCCCAAAAAGGGAGGCAUGACAGUUAUUAUGAAUGAAGAACGAGCUAAUUCCGCAACGCACCGUCACAGGAUGGCGGAUGUGCAUAGACUAUAGAAAACUAAAUAAAGCCACGAGAAAGGAUCACUUUCCUUUACCUUUUAUAGAUGAGAUGCUAGAGCGGUUAGCAAACCAUUCAUUCUUUUGUUUCUUAGAUGGAUAUUCAGGGUAUCAUCAAAUCCCGAUCCAUCCCGGUGAUCAAAGCAAAACCACUUUUACAUGCCCUUAUGGAACUUAUGCUUACCGUAGAAUGUCUUUUGGGUUAUGUAAUGCACCAGCUUCUUUUCAAAGAUGCAUGAUGUCUAUAUUUUCUGAUAUGAUUGAAGAGAUUAUGGAAGUUUUCAUGGAUGAUUUCUCUGUUUAUGGAAAAACUUUUGAUAGUUGUCUUGAAAACUUAGAUAAGGUUUUGCAAAGAUGUGAAGAAAAGCACUUAAUCCUUAAUUGGGAAAAAUGUCAUUUUAUGGUUAGGGAAGGAAUAGUGCUGGGACACUUAGUGUCUGAAAGAGGAAUUGAGGUAGACAAAGCUAAAAUUGAAGUAAUUGAACAACUACCUCCACCUGUGAAUAUAAAAGGAAUUCGAAGCUUUCUUGGCCAUGCUGGUUUUUAUCAUAGAUUCAUAAAAGAUUUUUCAUUCAUUGCUAGACCACUUACUCUUUUGCUAGCCAAGGAUGCUCCUUUCGAAUUUGAUGAUGCAUGUCUAACAUCUUUCAAUUUAUUAAAGGAAGCACUCAUCUCUGCACCAAUCAUUCAACCCCCUGAUUGGUCGUUGCCUUUUGUAAUUAUGUGUGAUGCUAGUGAUUAUGCUGUGGGGGCAGUAUUAGGACAAACUAAAGAUAAGAAGCAUCAUGCAAUUGCUUAUGCCAGUAAAACUUUGACAGGAGCUCAACUUAAUUAUGCAACCACUGAAAAAGAGCUUCUGGCUGUUGUCUUUGCCAUUGAUAAAUUUAGAUCUUAUUUAGUUGGAGCUAAAAUAAUUGUUUACACUGAUCAUGCUGCAUUAAAAUAUUUGCUCACUAAAAAAGAUGCUAAACCUCGCCUGAUUAGAUGGAUCUUAUUACUCCAAGAAUUUGACUUAGAAAUAAAAGAUAAAAAAGGAGUAGAAAAUUCUGUUGCUGAUCACUUGUCUAGAAUGUAUUUUAAGAGUCCACAGGAAACCCCCAUCAAUGAUUCACUCCGGGACGACAUGCUCUACGGGAUUAACAGGUCUGACCCCUGGUAUGCAGAUAUUGUUAAUUUUAUGGUUUCAGGGUAUGUACCACCAGGAGCAAACAAAAAGAAGCUUAUUCAAGAAAGUCGUUCACAUAUAUGGGAUGAGCCAUACCUCUUCCGAGUAUGCUCUGAUGGCUUACUCAGGAGAUGUGUGACCACUGAGGAAGGAUGGAAGAUCAUCGACAGAUGUCAUUCAUCACCAUAUGGAGGUCACUAUGGAGCAUUCCGUACAUAUUCAAAGAUCUGGCAGUGUGGAUUCUACUGGCCUACAAUGUAUGAAGACACGAAGCAAUAUAUCAGGAGAUGUGGGCCAUGUCAAAGGCACGGAAACAUAAAUACAAGGGAUGCAAUGCCACUCACCAACAACCUUCAGAUUGAGCUCUUUGAUGUCUGGGGAAUAGACUACAUGGGUCCAUUUCCUCCAUCAAAGAAGUGUGAGUACAUUUUGGUGGCGGUUGACUAUGUCUCCAAGUGGGUAGAAGCAUUACCUUGCAAGCAUGCCGACAGCGUCAGUUCAAAGAGGAUGUUUGAAGAAAUUAUAUUUCCAAGAUUUGGAGUUCCCAGAGUAGUGAUAAGUGAUGGAGGAGCACACUUCAUCGACAAACGCUUCAAGCAAUAUCUAUCAAGACAUGGAAUCCGUCACAACGUCGCUACCCCCUAUCAUCCUCAGACAAGUGGCCAAGCAGAGACUUCCAACAAACAAAUCAAGAAUAUUCUUCAGAAGACAGUAAAUGAAAUGGGAACGGCGUGGAAAGACAAGUUACCCGAUGCACUCUGGGCAUACCGGACAGCAUACAAGACCCCAAUUGGAAUGUCUCCAUACCAAUUGGUGUACGGGAAGACUUGCCAUCUACCUGUUGAACUAGAGUUCAAAGCACACUGGGCCAUAAAGAGAUGGAAUAUGGACCUAGAUGUUGCUGGAGAUUAUAGAAGAAUGCAACUAUCAGAAUUGGAAGAAUGGCGAGAGAAGGCAUAUCACAAUUCAAAAAUCUACAAAGAAAGAGUCAAGAGAUGGCAUGACAAGAGAAUCAAGAAGAAGGAGUUCACACCCGGAGAUAAGGUAUUACUUUUUAAUUCCAGGGUAAAGCUUUUUGGGCAUGGAAAACUCCAGAGCAAAUGGGAAGGACCAUUCAAGGUAAUCAAUUCAUCAUCCCACGGAGCUAUCACACUUCAAAAUAGCGAAGGUACGUUAUUCAAGGUAAAUGGUCAACGUCUUAAAUUAUUUUUAGAGCCCAAUGAGGAAUUUGAAGAAAUAGACGUAGUCCAUUUUUACCUUCCCAUAGAGAAUUAGAGCCCGACACUUUUGGUCUGAUGGUUUUGGGGCAUAUAUAUAUUUUUCUAAAUAAUUUCGCAUCUAGAAACGCGCUCGGAAAAGUGGGCCCACAGAGGAGCCAGAGAAAGGGCGGGCGCCCAGCCCCUGUUCCCCCUCGGUCCCGACUUUCUCUGAUAUGGAAAAUGCACUUAGGGUGAUCCGAAUAAUCCCUCGGAUGGAAAGUUUCGCACGCACAUCGACGGGAGCAACCCGAACAACCCAUAGAGGCAUCCUUUUGACCCCUAUAUAAACAGACCCCUGACCUCAGUUUUCAGACACCAAGCCACCAAGCUUUCUCUCCUUCAAUUAGAGCUUAAUUAGCUCUACUUCAAUUAAAAUUUUAUUAGUUCCUUGCUACUCCAAUGGCCGAGAAGUACCACGAUGAUUGGGAAGUCGUCCCCUUCAACCUCAACAUGGAGCCAGUGGAAGAACCCGAUGCCCGUGCUCUCGUCCCGGCCAACACAGAGCGACAACUAGAAGCCAUGCCAUUACGCCAACGCAGCUCCGCCCAAUCCUACCAUGCUCAACCAGUUCUCACCGCACCACCACAACCCCUACUCCUCAAAGGACCAUCAUCCAAGACGAAGACCACUAUCAAGGUACCAAUCGGUACAAGGAUCCUUCCACCUAGACCCAAUGAGAGCGUCGUUGGAGUCAAGACCAACCGGAGCGGCGAGAUCAGCAGCGUUCGCUACACUACGGAGGAGGAAAGGCCUUACUUUGAAGGGAUUAGAGCAUCCAAAGUCCGUUUCAUCCCUCCAAAGGCAGCCCCGAAGCACUCUCUCAAUGCUUUUGAGACACCUCCCAAGCGUCACAAGACUAUAAUGGAUAUUGAUGAGGAAGUUCGCAGGCUAGAUAGAGUUAUCAUAGACCUCCAGUCCUCGAUUAAUUCCCUCACUAGGCAGCUCUCUAACCACAACACCGUUAUAUUAGGCCUUAGGCAGGAUCUUGCCAGUGCCAACAAGAAGAUCAAGGAAUUAGAGCGCCGUUAAGUUAUCUAGAUUAGACCUUGAGGCAAUGCAUCUUAGUCAUUUAUCUUUAAAUUCGGUUUAGGUUUACUAUUAUCAUCAGUUUACUAUUAUUAUCAGUUUGCUAUCAGUUUGUUAUCAGUCUUUUGUACUAAAUGCCUCAAGAUCAAUAAAGAGUAUUACUAUUAUUAUUAUGUCUUGUGUGUCUCUACUUUAUUUUUGUGCAAGAAAGCAGAAAACAAGUAUGGGGGAGAUCCCUUAACAUGCCAAACACACUCCGACUACACCACUCCACGAUUCAGGUACACACUCUGCACACUUUACUUCAUACAUACAUUUAUUUUGGAUUAUGCAGAUUACUGUUUCCGACAUGAUAAAAUAAAAAGAUUAAAAUAUUUCUAAUCAUGAUUAAUCUCAAUCUGUGAUAUUUCCUGAAAACUUGCAAUUAUUAUAAAAUCAUUUUAAAACCCUGUGUUACUCAAGUCAAUAUGGAAUAUGUGAUGGUAGAGUAUGAGUUUCUUAUUCUUGAUAUCAUUGUUGCUUGGAGAAUUUAUUUCAAAAUAUUCAAAAUUCUAGCUACCAUCCUCAGUGUUUUAUAUGCCUGAUAAAAAUAAAAAUAUUAAUGAUGAUUAUAAAGCUAUCUACUCUGUAUUGAGUUUGUUCAAAAUGAGUUAGACCCUUGUUGAGAGAUUUAUCAUGCUCCUAAGAUCAAGGCAUUAUUUCAGAAAGAUUCACUCUUCCGAAGUAUUAUUGCAUUAGAGGCAUGGGCUAUGCAAAAAUAAAAAUAUUUCGAGGAAAUAAAAAGGAGCAAGUGCUCGACAACCUCGCAGAAAAAAUGGACAAGUGUCUGGCAGUAGAAUUAGGGGUACCUCGGUAUCCACUUAAAAAAAUAAAAAAAAUGAUGAAAUGAAAAUGAUAGCCCAUGGUCCCUCUAAUAAGCAAUAUGCCAGCAAGAGUUGACAAAGAUUUUAAUUUCCAAAGUCUUUGAUCUAAGAGUAUGACAUUCCCCUCCUCGGAUCCCGUUUUGAUCAGGCAAUAAAUGCAAAGUAAGAAUGCUUGAGAAUUUUUGCAAAAAUAAAACAACCUCAGUGAGAUAUAUAUAUAAAAGAUAAUGAGUGAUCUGAGAGAACCUAUGAGGAUAAAAAGGUAUGCUAACUUUCUUUCAAAAAUAUAACAAAAACUCCAAGUGACAGGAUUGAGAAGAAAGGAUCUUUACUCUUAACCAUAAACAUCCCUGACUAUGGUACACAGUGGAAUUUUAACACCCUACAAUUAUAUAAAGAGAAUGUUUUAAAUGUUUUACCCCAGAUAUUUUUCUUAACCAUCCUUUUCUCGAGGACGAGUAAAAGCCUAAGUAUGGGGGUAUUUGUUGACGGUUCUUAAGUAUCAAUUUUAAUUAUCAAAUAAACAAGAGAAAGGACCAAUAUGCAAACAACACCUAGAAUUAGGGUUUGAUCUAACAGAAUUCCACGAGUUUUGUUGUUUAUCUGUUUCUGCAGGGGGUUAUCAGGAAAUAAGGAAGAAAGGCCUACAUGUCGGGAUUACAUAGAGAUAUCAACGCACCGCGCAAUUUUACAUCAUCUAGAAGACUCCAGAAGCCACGAGACCGAAGCGGAGGCAAAACUGGGCCAGGCCCAGGGCGCCCGCCCUGGUAGCCUGGGCGCCCGCCCCCCUGCUGGAGCCAAAUCAGGACUCUUUCGUUCGGGAUAUUCCACCGACCUAUUGGAUCAAGAAAAACAUAGUACCACCUCGGCUAUCGACCCAAAAACGCAUAGAAGGGGAGGACUAUAUAAGCAAGGCCCCCCUGGCCCCUGGAGAAAACAUGAAGAAAUUAUCAUAGAGACUGAGGGGGCCCUCGAAGAAAAACCUCUUCUCUAAUUAAUAUUUCUUUUUAGGCUUAGCAAUCAAUGUAAGGUAGAAAUAGAUCUUCUAGUUUCUACUAGAUUGAGAGAGAUAGAGUGGAGGUGUAGAGUGGAGGAAGCCCGACCUGUCGGUGUCUACUCCAAGCUUGUACCUGCGGGAUCAAGUUCUCCUAACCCGAAGCUUGCUCCUAGGAUUCUUCAGUAAUUCGACUUCUAAAUUCUAGUAAGUUCUUGUUUUAUUAUUCUUAUAGUUUAUGAGUUUACUUUAAUCUCUUCGCGUAGAGUUUAGAGUAAUCAUUGCUGGCGUAAACGUGGUGUUUAGGCUGGGGUACUCAUAGAUAUUCCCUGACUAGCUGGACCGUGGUAGUAGUGAGGAACGUGACAAUUCCGAGCUACCUUUGUAGAUCACAUCUCGUUAGCAGGAAGGAUAGGGUUUAUAGGUGCGGGUCGAACAUCCUUUGUGGUGUCUAGAUUCCGUUAGCCUCCCCAUUAGAACAGUAGAUCAUCCUUACCAAGGUUAGAAAGAGACUACGGUUGCAGUCUUCUCUAUUUAUCACUCACAUCGAAAGACAUUCUUUGUGCCUAAAGGUUAGUAGUAAUAGACCGGUUAGUCAGAUGCACUCUUUCUCCUAGUGGUAAAAAAAUAAAUACGAUACUCUGGAUAAUUUCCCGGGUGAAGUGCUCACCGAUAUCCGAGCGCUUGCGGAUCAAUUCCUUAUUGCGUUCCCAAAUAUCAACACUGAGCACCCUUGGGACUUAGUGUCCAUGCUUGGGGAGUGCUAGUAAAGCCUCUAAAUCACAUAUACUUGAUAGUGAUCAUCCGAUUGUGUGAGUGAGCGAUUCUAGUGCGUUGCAUUGAGAGAUUGCAUCGAGUGGCACUAGGUGUUCGUGUUGCAAGCCGGUGGUGCUUGUUACUCUUGGAGGUUGCCACCUCCUAGACGGCUUGGUGGCUUGUGACUCCGUCGAAGCACGCAAGGAGAUUGUGCGGUGCUCCGGAGAAGAGAUUGUGAGGGGUACGGUGCUCACCCCGUGGGGAUCGCGAAGAGCAACUCUAUUGGAUCGUGCGUGUCAUUGAGCUACCUCACUUGUGGGUAGGUUCUUGCGGUGUCCUAGUGGGGACGAGGUUCGUGUAACACCUCUUAGCCGCCGAACCACCAAGUGUUGGUCGACACAACGGGGACGUAGCUUGGUGGCAACCAAGUGAACCUCGGGAGAAAAUCUUCGUGUCAACAUUGUUCUUCCCGUUGGUUUGCAAGUCCCUAACACAAGCUUGUUCUUACAUUCAUACUUAUGCUUGUGUAGUUGCUCUUGUAAUUAGUUAGCUUCUGUAGCUUGCUAGUUAUCUUCUUGCUUGUGUAGCUAGAAGUAUCUCCCUUGCGUGACUAAUUUGGUUUGUGUAACCUUGUUAGUCACAUUGCUUAGUUUGUGUAGCUAAGUAAGUUGCGCUCUCUAAUUUGGCAUUAGUUGCCUUGUUAUUGAGCUUGCUAGUGAGCUUAGGCUUUGUGCGCUUUGCCUCACUAGUUUGUGUAGGAGCUCCCCCGGUUUGCAAAGUACUAGUUGCAUAGGUUUGUGUGACCUUGCUCCUAGAAUUGAUUAGGUGAGCUCUUGCUAAGGUAGCACCUUGCUUGCUUGUUUAGGAUCUUUUCAAGGUGCUAGAGAACUUAGAUAGAGGGGUGUAGUCUUGGCUAGACCGAUAGUUUUAUUUCCGCAUUUGUUUCGGUUAGCCGGCGCGAUAAGUUUUAGAAAGGACUAUUCACCCCCCCUCUAGUCCGCCAUCUCGACCCUUCAAGUGGUAUCAGAGCUAGGUCUCUCAUUUGUGGUCUUCACCGACCCGAGAGGAUGGCGUCUAGUGGGAUAGAUGAUUGUGAGACACACAUUUUUGAUGGUACAAACUUUGCACUUUGGAAAAAUCACAUGCUUGAUCAUUUUCGUGCAAAGGGACCUAAAUUUUGGUGGAUUGUCACUAAUGGUCUCACACACAACUUGGACCAUAAGAAUCUCACCAAAGCUCAAAAGGUUCUCUUUGAACUUGAUUGCGAAGCUUAUUGUUAUCUAAUGAAAUCUUUGAGCUUUGAGUUGUUUGAUAGGAUAAACUCCAAACGAAUCGCAUAUGAAAUGUGGGAGUCUAUCAAACACACCUUCGGUGAUUCCUCCACAUGGGAUGAUGGCAAGUUCAAAAAGGAGGAACCAAAGGUGGAGAUACAUGAGGAUGUUGAGCAUGACCACAACAAGGUGGUUGUGGAGGAUUGCUCCACCUCAUGGUCAAGUGAAGAUGAAGAUGAUGGCUAUGAGAGUGAUGCUUCUACAAGCUCAUCCACUUCAUCACAUUCCUCCAUGUCUCACGGCGACGGCAAGGUAUCUAUUGGAGGUGUGAUUGUUGAUUGUGAUGAUCCAAAUUUUGAGCUUGUAUGUAGACUCACCAAAGCUUUAAGAAAUGAGAUGGAUAAAACAAGUAAAUUGAAAAAUGAAAACUCAUUUCUAAAGACCACAUGUGAACAACAAAAGCAUCUACUUUAUGUUACUACUUGUUCAUAUGAGGAGCUAAAAUUGAUUCAUGAGGAACUUUGUGUUACUCAUGAUAACUUGGUAAAAGAUCAUGCUUUUCUCACUAAGAAGAUUUCUAAUGAAGAAAUUAAAACUAGUGAGAGCUCAUCAUUUGGGUCAAAUGAUCAAUCAUAUGAUAUUACUAACCCUUGUGAUGUAGGCAAGAAGCAUGUAUCCACCUCUUGUGAUGAUUUAUUAUCUACGCCAUGUUCUUCACAAUUAGAUAUUUGUUCUACUUCCAUGUCUUGUGAGACUAACCUUUUGAAGGAGAACGAUAAGCUCAAAAAUGAAGUGAAGAAUUUGAACAACAAGCUAGAGAGGUGCUACUACUCAAAAGUCACCUUUGAGAACAUAUUGAAGACUCAAAGAAAUUAUGGUGACAAAUGUGGCCUUGGCUUCAAGAAAAAGAUGACAAAGGGCGAAAGAAAGCAAGAAAAAAGGAUGAAGAAGCUACUUCAAAAGAAGCUUUCUCACACCAUGUGCUAUCGGUGCCAUGAAGCGGGACACCUUGCAAAUGGUUGUCCAAACAUUGAGAAGCUCAAGAAGAUGAAGGAAGAAGAGAGGCUAAAACAUGUCAAGUGCUUCAAGUGCCGCACUUGGGGUCAUCUUACCUCAAUGUGCCCAACCAAGCAAUUGGUGAAGCAACAAACAAAGCCUCAACCAAAGCCACAAGUUGAGCAAGAAAAGAAGCCCCAAGCUCAAAUCAAGAUCUACCAUGAAGAUGGUGGUGACAUGGGGAUGAUGAAGAAGAAGACAAGAAGGGGAGGUAGACAAUCAAGAUCAUCAAAAGACCUCUCCCACAUCAUGUGUUUUGAGUGCAAGAAUGAUGGACACUUUGCCUCGAAGUGUCCUACCAAGCUUGAGAAGAAGGCUCAAGCAACUCUCAAGAGGCAAGGAAAUGAGAAGCAACACAUGAGCAAGGAAGAAAAGGCUCAAUCAAAGCGAAGUUGCUACUUAUGCCGGGAAAUGGGACACAUGGCUCAUUCAUGUCCCCUAGGUAAUAGUUCUAAGCCUAUUUCAAUUGAUAACCAUAAUAUGCUUAGAAAGGAUGGUAAUGGUACCUCUAUGGUUGCUAUUGCAAAACAUCCCGCUACUCAUACUAAGGCAUCGCCUAAGUAUGUUGCACCAAACUUGAGAGGACCCAAACUAGUUUGGGUACCAUCAAAAAGUGGAUGAUUAUUUGUAGAUACCAUAGGCAUUGGAGACUUGAUUCAAUUGAUCUUAUAUUAUUCAUCAUAUGAUUCAGUCAAGCAUUGAAGCUUAGUGCUUAUCUCAUCCCAAUGCCAAGUCAAAUAAGUGAAGUCCAAGUGCUACAAUUACAAGUGCAAAUAAUCAAGUUGUGGUAUUUUAUUGGAUUAUUUGAUGGCUUGCAAAUACAUGAGUUGAAGCUUGCAAAUUAGAUGAUCAUGAGCUAACCAAGGUAUAUCUUUGUUGAUCACAUUCGUUUGGGUGCAAAUGAGUUGAUUGAAUUGGAUAUAUAUGCAAUGUUGCUUGCUAUAAGAUGAUUGAAUGGAUAAAAUGCUUAGUAAUCAAGUUUGGAUUGAUUUGGGUUGGAUAAGUUCAUGAGAUGACUUUUAGUAAGUGGAUUGAAUUGAUAUAUGUCUUGUGAAUGCAUUCAAUCAAGUUGAUUUCAAUUUUGAUUCAAUUUGAAAAAGUAUAGCUCAAUUGCUUGAAAUCUGUCCAACAUUGAGAAUCUGAGCUAGCUGAGAUCAAGUCUGCUUUUGAGUGAUCAAAUCUUAUUGAAAUGGCUUGAAAUUUGGUGUGCAUGCUGUACACUUAUGAUAGAAAGUGCUGUAGAAAUUUCAUGGAAAUUGGAUAAAGAAUACUUCAGUUUUGGAGUGGAUCUUAUCAGCUAUUAUGCAGCAGUUUUCAGCAUGUACAGUGGUGGAAGAAUUGAAAUCUGGUAGCAAUCUAGAAGUCAAAUAAAUCUCCAAUUUUUACAGCUGCUAGAUGACUCAGUAAAGCACAUCUCCACCAAAUUUAGUAGUAUUUGGAUCUGUACAUUGUGAGAUAUAAGUUAUUCUUUGAAAGGUACAGAAUCUGCCAGAAAAGUGAUAAUUAUUGGAUUGAUCUAGAGUCACUUCAAUUGAAAGGUGUUCAAGUUGGGAAUAUGAUUAUAAGUAUUUGAGGCACCUGAGUUUGGUUUUGAAUUGAUCUAGAAGCAUGACAAGUAAUGAGUACGAGGUCAUUUGAUUGCGGAAUGUACUUGGUGUACACAUUCAGUACUCAAAUUGAAGAUCAAGAUCAAACUCAAGAUGAAGUUGAAGUUUAAGUUCUAGUGACUAUUGGAGAUCAUUUGGUAGAAAGAAAAGGACUUAAACAAGUAGAAAGAAAAGGACUUAAAGAAGGUUUCAUGGUUACUCAUCAUAUUAAGUCCAUCACUUGAAUCAAUCAAUCGAAGGCAACUCAAGUGAGUGUCAAGAAUGGUUCUUUGGAGAGAGGUCACUUCUCCCUAUGUGAGGGGCGUGCCGCCCGAGGAGUGGGUAAACCAAGUGUGGUGCUUGGAAGGCUAACAUGGAAGUGGUGAUCUAAAGGACAUUUGAGAUGCUUAGUUGAAGCAAUCAAAAGGAUUGAUCAAGAAAGCAAGCAACAACCCAAAAGAGAGCUAGUCAUGCUAUUCCAAGUGAUAUUCUUAGUAGUUCUCUCAUGCAAGCAAUGGUCAAAAGAAGAAGCAAGUCAACCACAACAAGAUAGUGCACUUGAUCAUAAAGUGGUUUUCAUUUCAUAUGGGUGAAGAUUUGAUCUAUCCAUUAGCAUUUAUAAUUGGUCUUCACCAAGCUUAUAGUUGGACUUCACAUUGCUAUUUGGAGCUAAAUUGGAAUCUUAUUGACUAUCCUCUACUCCAAGAUAGCAAAGGUAUCAUUGUAAUGUGCAUGAUCAUUUCAUCCCUUACUAGUAUGCGGUUAGUGCAUAUAGUACAUGCUUAAUAGGAUCAUGCAUGACAAUUAAAAUGUUUUAAAUUCAUAGCCUACCACUAUUGCUUGAAUGAUUAGUUGAUCUAGUGGUAUGUAUAUGAGUUUGUUCAUGAGCUAGUGAACCCAAGUACUUGAUCUAUUUUGGAUUGUUAACAAGUGACAAGUACAACAUUGGCAAGAUAACCCUUAAUGUGAGGUAUGAAAAAGCUUGUCAUUGGUUCAAACCGGACUUGGAAGCUUAGGCAAAUUAACAUAGUUCAAGUCUACAAUUAGAAGCUCAUGAUGAUUAGAGUACAAAAACAAGACAACAAUGCAAAUGGAUAUCUAAACUCAAAUGUUUCCUCAAUUGGUAUCCUACAAUUGGUACUCAUGAUAGCAAAUGUUCAAGAAAACAAACAAGUGGUUCCAUACUAGAAGACCUUCAAUUGGAAGAAGGUUUCCAUAUGGUAUCGGACAAGAUCUUUCAAAUGAUAUGACAUUUAUACAUAUGGUGUCUAACAUACAAGAAGGUGGUUCCACAAGUGAUCCUCAACUUUAAGUGAUCAUCAAGCAAAGAAAGUUCCCUCACCAACAAGAUUGACAAGUGAACGACCCAUGCUAUGACAUAGGGGAGUGCCCCACCAAAUGGUAUCAAGGUCAAAGAUCCCAUGUGGUAUCUCAAGAGCAAUUCAAGUAAUGUCAUUCCAACACAUGGUGAUGUCCAUAAAAAAUGCAAGAUUCAAGCCUCAACCAUCUAUCCCAAUGCAAUCCUUUGUCACAAUGAGAUUCACACUUUUUCAAUUGGUAUCAAGUGAUUUAAUUGGUAUCACAUACCUUUUAUGGAAAUUGAUGACAAAGGGGGAGAAGUUGGAACAAAGAUAUGAUCAUGAGAGAAAAGUUGGAACAAAGAUAUGAUCAUGCGAGAAGUUGGAACAAAGAUAUGAUCAUGGGAUAAGUUGGACAACAAAAGAUAUAUUUCAAGGGGGAGAGAUCAAAGAUGGACAUGGACAAGGGAGCGACAUUAAAGGAAAAGAGUUGGAUCAAAAGUCUUGAACAUAAGAAGCACACAAGUAGGGGGAGCAAGCUCAUGAACAUUGAUUGUUUGCAUUUGAUAUGUGCAUAUUCAUGUGCUUACUAGCAUUGCAUAAGUUUUUAAAUUUAAUGUGCAUGCUUGUGUGGUGUAUGCUAGUUAUAGAACUUGAUUGAUGAUAUGAUAACUAGCAUGCAUAAGAUGGUAGCUAGACUUGUGUUUUCAAGUAAAGACUAGACCCUUACUUUUAAUGUUGAUCUCACGGGGUUUCUAGUGUUUUUGUUGUCUAGCUACACUUGGUGCUAAGGAUGGUGUACAUUGAAUGCUUCAAAUGAUAUCGAAUUUGGUAUCGAGCUACAAAGGUUUAUUCUAUACACCUUAGCACUUAGUAGGGUUUUAUGGUGCUUAUCCAAAUCUUGACAUAGAGCUUAAAUGUUGGAUAAGUAGCAUAAAAUCCAAAUCAAUUUAGCAAUUUACACUUGUGUGAAGUGCUAGCUUGAAAAAGCUUAAUUUCCAUAUCUUUGUAGAGUUGUCAUCAAUUACCAAAAAGGGGGAGAUUGAAAGGUCCUUGUUUGGUUUUGGUAAUUGAGUGACAACUUAGGUGGACUAAUAGUGUUUAUGUGAGAUACACAGGAGAUUAGUCCACAGGUGAUGAUGUGAUGAUGGAGGAGCUCAUUGCACAUGAGACAUGACAUGGAGUCAUGUGACCAAGGUGGAGAAGAUCAAGAUGAGGCUUGGCUUGAUGGACCGGUUGCAAGAGUGAAGGGCAAGUCGGAAGCUUUGAAGCGAGGGACCGCGUGUGACGGUGAAGCUUGAGCAAGACUUGGCGCCGAUGGACCGAGGCAAUGGUGAAGAGCAAGUGAGGUCAAGAUCGAUGAACCAAUAUGGUCACGUGAUGAUAUGAAGUGGAUCAUAUCAUUUGGUGAUUGGUUGGUGCAUGUGUUGCAUCAACAUCGGAGGAGAUGGAAUGGAAUGCGCAAGGCAAAGGUAUAACUUAGGGCAUUUCCAUUUCACCGGUCAUAGGUGUGUAGAGAAGUCUAUGACCGGAUUUAGGAUAGAUGGCCGUACUAUCAAGAGGGGCAAACUUGUUUGCAUAUCGGUCAUCUAGUGCCACUUGAGCGAUCUAACUUUGCAUACGUGUUAGGAUCGAGUGGCGUGGCAAGUUGAGAGGCUAACUCCUUUGGAAAAAUGUUUAUGAAAAUGCUAACACACUUGCACAUGGUGGUGUACACUUGGUGGUGUUGGCACAUUUGCAAAGGAGAAGGUGUUGAAGUUGAUUUUGUUCAACUUGGAGAAGAGAGAGAAGUCUUUCGGUGUUCUCUGGACAUUAGGAUGGCUUUUAGAUUGGAAUACUGCUUUGAUCCAUUUUGAUUUGGAUUGAGUAUUCAUAUAUAUUGGAUAGUACUCUAAGUAAGCUUUCCAAAAUGUCCAAGAUCAUCAAAUUUGGAGUUCGGAGCUAGAAGUUAGCAACCUAACAAGUUGAACUGCAGGCACAGGACGCUGAGAGUCCGGUGCGCACAGGACGAGUCCGGUGGCACAGGACGCUGAGAGUCUGGUGCGCACAGGACAGUCCGGUGUCACAGGACGCUGAGAGUCCGGUGCUGCUACAAGUUUGCGUUGCUCUCUGCGUGUGAGUCCGGUGCGCACAGGGCGCGUCCGGUGUGAAGCAGCAGAGCGUCCGGUGCUACUGUUCCAGAUGCGCGUGCGUGUGCUAGCCGUUGGCGGCAACGGUCAAGUUCAAACGGCCAGUGACACGUGGCUGUUUUUGGAGCACAGGACGCACUGUUCCAGCGUCCGGUGCUACCUACAGUGAGUCCGGUGCUCACGACUUUUGCCCAGUGAAGGAGCAACGGCUAGUUUAGCCCUUGGGGCUAUAAAUAGAAGUGGUGGCCGGCCUUGGCCGGUGCUGAGCACCCUUGGGACUUAGUGUCCAUGCUUGGGGAGUGCUAGUAAAGCCUCUAAAUCACAUAUACUUGAUAGUGAUCAUCCGAUUGUGUGAGUGAGCGAUUCUAGUGCGUUGCAUUGAGAGAUUGCAUCGAGUGGCACUAGGUGUUCGUGUUGCAAGCCGGUGGUGCUUGUUACUCUUGGAGGUUGCCACCUCCUAGACGGCUUGGUGGCUUGUGACUCCGUCGAAGCACGCAAGGAGAUUGUGCGGUGCUCCGGAGAAGAGAUUGUGAGGGGUACGGUGCUCACCCCGUGGGGAUCGCGAAGAGCAACUCUAUUGGAUCGUGCGUGUCAUUGAGCUACCUCACUUGUGGGUAGGUUCUUGCGGUGUCCUAGUGGGGACGAGGUUCGUGUAACACCUCUUAGCCGCCGAACCACCAAGUGUUGGUCGACACAACGGGGACGUAGCUUGGUGGCAACCAAGUGAACCUCGGGAGAAAAUCUUCGUGUCAACAUUGUUCUUCCCGUUGGUUUGCAAGUCCCUAACACAAGCUUGUUCUUACAUUCAUACUUAUGCUUGUGUAGUUGCUCUUGUAAUUAGUUAGCUUCUGUAGCUUGCUAGUUAUCUUCUUGCUUGUGUAGCUAGAAGUAUCUCCCUUGCGUGACUAAUUUGGUUUGUGUAACCUUGUUAGUCACAUUGCUUAGUUUGUGUAGCUAAGUAAGUUGCGCUCUCUAAUUUGGCAUUAGUUGCCUUGUUAUUGAGCUUGCUAGUGAGCUUAGGCUUUGUGCGCUUUGCCUCACUAGUUUGUGUAGGAGCUCCCCCGGUUUGCAAAGUACUAGUUGCAUAGGUUUGUGUGACCUUGCUCCUAGAAUUGAUUAGGUGAGCUCUUGCUAAGGUAGCACCUUGCUUGCUUGUUUAGGAUCUUUUCAAGGUGCUAGAGAACUUAGAUAGAGGGGUGUAGUCUUGGCUAGACCGAUAGUUUUAUUUCCGCAUUUGUUUCGGUUAGCCGGCGCGAUAAGUUUUAGAAAGGACUAUUCACCCCCCCCUCUAGUCCGCCAUCUCGACCCUUCAUCGACCUUCCUGUGGCAAGGUGGUCCUGCUACGUCGGCGUCUAGUUUCCCUUUUCUUUAUGGAACAAUUUAGCUUAUGCUUCCCUUUCGCACUUUGAUAUACUUUUGGCUUGUAAUAAUGGUACUAUUACUCUCAUUUAUGUAAUACGUUUGAACACUGUGUUUUGUACCAUUGAUGAUGUCGAUCCAUGUGUGUGAAUUUGAGAUCCUGGCGCACAAGUGAUUUGGCACCCGAAUGCUCUUUUACAUCCGGGUGUGACAGAAGUGGUAUCAAAGCCAUGUUGAUCGUAGGAUCACGCAGCCUAGUUAGAAACAGCCGUUUAGAAUGUCCCUUUUGGGUGGAAUACACCAUUGGAUCUAUUAACUACCUUACUAACUUGUCUCAUUAGACUUUAUCUAUUAGCCUUAUCUACUUACAUUUACUAACAGUUCCGUUUAUUCACUUACUUCCUGCAUUUAAUACCUUAUUAUUAUUUAUUACUUCCUGCUCCUCAUAUUGCAUUUAUAUUCUUGUUUUAAGUUUUAUUACUUAUUAUUUGAACCUUUCUUUUAUACCUUGUCUUUUAUUAUCAUUCUACUCAUAUUACCUUCUUGUUCCUUGUUUUUCAUUUAUUACUUGAAUUAAUGCUUUAUUUCUGCCUUGUCAAUAAUUUCAUUACCUUGUUUUACUUUAUACCUUCAUUGCUUGCCUUCAUGUCUUACCAUAAAUACCACCAAAAAUUCAUAUCUUACAUCCACUGUAUCAUCUUGAUUCAUUUUCAUUUCAUAUACACCAGUGCGUUCAUUUAUGCCAUUCAUAUCUUUAUCAUUGUCAUGAUCUAUUAAUCUUUUCCUGCAUGUCUAUGAUCUUAUGCAUUAGUAGAUGACUCGCCAUUUGACCUGCCGCAAGAGCGUCAUUCGUUUCCAUCCCGUUCAAGCUGUGGAGUUCCCGUUGACUGGUCGUGUUGAUAACAUCGAGUUCCAGCCCAGCCAGCAUCCUGAUGACGGUGCUAACCUCCAAGAUGCGGAACCCUAUGAAGGACAGCAACCACCCCAAGCUUUGGUGGUGCUUGGAAGGGCGCCUUGCUGGGUCGCUGGAGGAGAUGACCCCUUGGUGAUGACGAUUGUUGACAUUCGUUAAGUGCAAUAAGAAUAAGAAAAAUUCCGCAAGCGCACAGAACAUCAUCGUAGCAUUUUAUCGGGAGUAUUCCAGGUAUCAUUAUUUAUAUUUUACCACUGGGAAGCUAAGGUCAAAGAAUCUGAUAACUUACUAUCAUGCAUCUACUAAUUUAAUAAACCAACUAGACUAAAGUAGGGGUAAAUAAUAUAUGAUAGGUAAUAAUAUAAAGGUGAGAAUUCUAUGAUAAAUGCGUAGAUAGCCAUAGCGGGAGGACAACGGGAGAGACCUGGGUUCCUGUAUACUUCUCUAUUACUUCAGUUCUAUGAUAACAAAGAAUGAAUAGAUAUAGCCAUCACAUAUUAGCACUUUGGUACAUCAGAACACCAACCACAUAAAGAGAACUGGAAGGGGGCUGGGAAGCUCUGACUACGGUCCUACAAACACCGAUCCGAACGAGGUGGAAUACGUCGACCGUUAGGGCUGUCACUACCCUAGGCCUACCACAACAAUCCGCAGGACUGGGUGCUACCUCAGGUAACCUCUAGUAUAGACACCACGUCUAUACUAACGAUUACUACUCUAAUUACCAUGAAUAACUAGAGCACUCGAUGCGAACGGUGAUCCUAUGCCAAAAUAUAACAACUACACUACUCGAUAACAAUAAAGGCAUAAAAGUAAAUAGAGAAGAUAAAUAUAUUAAAGCAUAAGUCUUACAAUAAACUCUAAAGACUUCUCCAGAACCGAAGCGCAGCUCCGCUCUCCCUAACUCCCGACUAGAACUAAUCUACUACAUUGGAAUGUCUAGCCCUAAUUCUCUAUAGAGUUAAUGUUAUCCUUUGAGGGCACCUCUCAACUCUAUAAUGAUGUGUUCUCCUCUAGGGGCCAGGGGCCUUGCUUAUAUAGCCUCCUCCUUUGUGCCUUUUUGGUUCAGCAGGCGAUGUGGUACUAAACUUUCCACCAAAUCUCAUUAAAAUGCACAUAGGCCUUAAUGGACCAAAAUAUGAUUUGGGCCUAAUUAAUCCCGCAGCUCUUUUAUGUGGAGUCCUUCUUUUAUUAAUAUCUCUUGAUUCCGAACACCAAAUAUAGCAAAUAAUAUAUGUAUUUUGAUCAGCUCAACGAGAUCUUUGUAAUGGUAUACUCCAUUCUGUGAUUGGUGCUUGUACCAGGGCGAGCGCCCCGGCCCCAGGCCCGUCUCGGCUCCGCUUCGGUCGAGUUGCUUCUAGAGUCUUCCUGAUUAUGGAAAAUUACCGCACAUAUUAUUUCUCUAUGUAAACCCGACGUGUGGGCCUUUCCUUCGUAUUUCCUGAUAACCCCCUGCAGAAAUAGACAAACACCAAAACUCGUGGAAAUCUGUCAGAUGAAACCCUAAGUCUAGGUGUCGGUUGCAUUUGGAUCCUUUUUCAUGAUUAGUUGACGGUUAAAUGUGAGCAUUAAGGACCGUCAACAAGCUUCCCCAAGCUUAACCUUUGCUCGUCCUUAAGCAAAGAUGGACUCACGAGUUUCUGCAGUGGUUUCAUGCCUUAAAGGUACACAUGCGUUCAAACAAGAUCUCAUCUCUGGGUUAGGGUAAACUGUUAAGAUUUAAACUUACUCAUUUUACCUUCCACCAUGGGGCUUGCAACUGUCACUUAUGUCUUGAGCAGUUAAAAGAUAGAACGGUCUAGUCAAGCGUCAUGUCUCUUGUUCUUCGAUUAACUAUAGCUCUAGAGUUUUUGCAGAUUUUCAAAUAAAACUUAGAGAUUCCUUGUAUGACUCUCUCUAAUCUCUCUUUUGUGGUAUUUCUGGAUCCUUACCAAGGCAGUAAUAGUGUAAGCCUUCUCUCAAAAUAUGUGGUAUUUUUGGUAUGAGGCAUAGUGGUAUUGCCUUCUAUCUCACCCUACUCUAAUAAGGUUUUGAUAUCUAGAGCUCAUAGGUGGGAGACAGCUAAUACAUACUUACAAGACACUUAUUGCAUAGUCAAACCAAGGAUCCAAAAGAACAAGUCAAUAAGUCAAAUCAAGAUGUGCAUGUGUGGCGAAUGAAUGGUGAAAAUAAUGGUGAAAGUCUAAUUCUACUUUUGCUCUUUUGAGGGCGUACAUACCUUUCUUGCACUUGAGGCUUUUGAGGGGAAUGAGACGCUCUAUAUUUUAUUUUUCUUUUCUCUCAGGUGGGUAUCUUGUACCCCUAAUUCUACUGUCGGACACUUGUCCAUUUUUACCUCUCGUCUCACAUUUUCUUUUUUUUUUUUGAGGUUUCAGGCACUUGCCCCUUUUUAUUUCCUCGUAUUCACUUUUUUCAUAACACUCACCCUCCUAGAAUAAUGUAGCAAGUGGUAGUAACCAAAAUAUCUCGAGCAUUUAUUUCACGGGGAAUAACAGGGAUAGGAUAAUGUUUUUGGCUAUUCUCUCCUAGAUAGGAGUAGAAUAAUUUUGGGUGAAUCUGGAUAUGGAAAUGAGUGGAUGUAUGUGGAUGCGUACUUCUGGAGUAGAAGCAGCAUGUAUGAGUGAACGUGCAAGUGAAUCUUGAUUUUAACCGCAUGACAAGCUUCUAAGGGUCUACACAGCUUGACCGCACUCAAUGCUCAUAAGCAGUGAAAAGUAAAUGUAUGGUUCAUAGUCUAAUAAGGUUGUAUAUAUGGCUGUGGUAGGAUUUUAAACUCUCAUCAUAUAGGAACUCAUCAUGCAACAUUUUAAAGAUUUUCAAAGAUAAAAUUCUCCAGAAUUCUAGCAUCUCUAGGAACAAAUAAAUAGCAGCUCAACCUUCCCAUAUCGUAUCCGUUAACGACUUAGACUUUAGAUCUCAAGUACUCUUCCCACAAGUUCAGGUUUAGAGCAAAUCUUAAUUAAUAACAGUCAUGCCUUCUUGAGAGAGAUUUCAAUUUUGAGAACUAGUCAUGGCAGAGCAACUAUUCAUCAUUUCCAUAUGAGAGUUUAUCAUUGAUGUUC